ACAAAUAUACUAUUAGAGAUGUGUUCUCCCAAGGACAAAGGGCAUCUUGAUGCAAGAUGGGAGGCUUAGAAUUAUUUAUAAGAAGAUUACACGUGCGUUGCACGUGCAAACUUACUAGUUCAUUCAAAGGAGCAGGCCAGGGCCGAUGCUUUUUCAGCUUCAAAUUACCCUGUUUACAACAAAGAUUAUGAAAUAUGCUUCUCUGAGACAAAGAGCUAAGAUGUGUCGCCCUUUCUUCAAACCAAAUAACAGCACCACAAUAGGAGCAAGUAUAAUCUGGACAGCCAAGGUAAUUCCUCUUCCUAUAAGAGGCUACAACCAAAACACGACGACCAGAAUUGCGGACAAUCAGAUCGAAAUAAACCCGGCAACAAAAGAAGCGACCACAAAGCACAGACACAACAACAAAGAUACCCCUGGCUAACCUUUCAAAUAAGCCACGUACUGUCUAGACAUAUAAGGAACCCGGCCAACAGUGAAUCUCGGCACCUGUACACCUAGAACAGCAGUAAAACAUCCAAAAAUACCAACAGGAAGAGUGAGCCCAACAGAUCCAAACAGAAAGCACCUACAACCAACGCAGAAGGAAGAGUUCACCAAAGAGAUGAAGCCUGCGCCGAAUCCGCCACUUCAUGCAAUUCUCUCUAGCCAUCAAAUGGAUAUCCUAUAACAACCUAUGAUCAGCCCAACCCAAUGCACAUAUGUACCAUGAAUACACACAGAACAAAAAUCAAAUAAACAUAUACCAGCAGGUCGAUUAGUGACAACCAGCAGAGCAUGAACCAUAACAACACUGGCAGCCAAUCAAGGACAAACAGUCCUUGCAGCACUGCUGCUGCCAGGAAAAGAAUCGCUGUUCCCAGAAGCUGCUACUAUUGAAGGAGCAGACACGCAUGAAAGCACGGCCCAAACCACACAACGGAACACACAUAUAGAAACUAAACAGCAUACUACGCCGCUUUCUAACAGCAGAAGAUGGAUGGCCAUCUCUUUCAGCCAUAACAGACCAAGAAAGAGACCUAAAUACACAGACAUCACAGAAAAUAAAUUACUGCAGAUUAAACCAUAUGGUUAACAUCUGAAAGAACACACACCAAGAUUGGACACAGAAGGUAGCAACAAUAAUCAGCCGGAUCCAAUCGAAGCCCCAGGUCCACCACGCAGGAGAGGAAGGGACGACUGGUACGCAGCAGCAAAAUUUUCUCACCAACGGGAGCGGCAAGACAAUCAGAGCACCGCUGAAAAAACCGGGCCCCUUCCAAACCGACCUGACACAAACCGCAUGACCACCGCAUACCCGCAGCAAGCACAGCACCCCAUCGAUCGGCCCACACCCCAUACACGCAUAAAACUUGGGAGGGAUUUAUUUUAUAUUCUGAUCCAAAACAAGUUAACUGUUUUUGUGUGAAAACUCAAUAGUGUUCAGAAAAAGUAUUGAGCGUAAAAAUUACAAAAAUGCUCGUCCAGUUGUAUACUAUGGUACAAAGGUAUUUACCUCUCAAUUUCAUCCAUAGCAUCCAAAUUCUUGCGGAUCUCCAGCAUGCUCGCAUCAAACUCAGCAGUCAUGCGCUUUAUUUCCUCACGCUGUUUGGCCAGCGUUUCAUCAUCAUCAGAAUAAGCCACUUGUCCCCCCUAUAAAAAUUUGAAGGACAUUAGUAAAUACUAUUACAAAUACUAGAAAUUCACAAAGAAGUUGCAAUUGAGUACAGUAUUGCCAGAACUGCAGAAUUCUGAUUUGGGAAACAAUAAUCCACACUGUCCCAGAACUGAAGAAUUCUUCAGUUAACGGGAGGACCAAAUUUUCUGAUUUGUGAAUGUUUUGAAUCACAUGACCUGGGAAUAACAUCUGCUAGAUUAUCUAUAAUCAGUCAAUUACUGCCAAGUAUUUCAAUUCAAUUUCAUUGCAAAUUUCUGCUGUCAGAUCAUAGAUUAGGAGUUUAUACAACAAUUUGGCUGGAUCAAAGGUUAAUCCUACUCGCAGGAUCAGAGGCGGGGGCAGCCGUCAGCGGCAGAGAUGGGGGCGUCGGCGUCGCCCACCAGCAGUAGCAGCGGCAGCAGCAACCACCAGUACCUGUUCGUGGAGACGGCUAGCUUCGGCGAGGCGCAGGCGACGGGCGGCGAGGGAGGAGGGAGAGCGGGGAAGGGACCCGGCGGCGGCGGCGGCGGCGGCUAGGGUUUGGCACGUACCGUCGUUGAGAGGAGGCGCGCCGCCGGCGAAAGCCCCUGCACCACCGGCGACAUGCGGCCGAGGGCCGGCGACCCGCGGCCGAGGGACGGCGCCGCCUUGCGGAGGAGGGACCGGAUCGCCGCCGCCAUCAGCACGAGCGGAGGAGCGGUGGUUGGGGGAGGAGCGUCGACGAUGUUUUCCUCUUUUGUUUUCCGGGGCCGACCAGCGCUCAAGCGACUGAGUCCAUGGGCCAGCGCUCAACAACAGCAUGUAUAGUAUUCCUUAAAUGUUCAAGAAAUGUAAAAAAUUGUUCAUGUAAUUUGCAAAAGUGUUCACAUCAUUCAAAAACAAUGUCCACGCAUUAAACCUAUACUUAUGACAUUUUAAAAAAGUGAUCAUACAGCAUGAAAGGUUGUAAAAUUUUUGUACCAAUUCAAAAACAAAUAUGUUCCUGUAGUUUUCAGAACGCUGGCGUGUUUAGAAAUAUGUUCAUGGUCUUUUUAUGAAGUGUUGUGAAAAUCUAGAGUUUUUCGCGCAAUCUGUAAAAAAUAUUUGUACCAUUCAAGGCUAUUCGUGAAAUUUAAGAAACAUUCACGGGUUUGAAAAUGUGUUUCGUGAAUUUUUUAUAAAAUGGUCUUCAAGUGAAAAACUUUGAUCGCGCAGUUUUUAAAAAUGGUCAUAACAUAUCAAAAAAAACCAUGACAUUAAAAAAUGUCCAUAAACACUUAAGAAAUAUUCACACAUUUCUUUUAAAAGUUCAUGAUAUUUUUGGAAAAUUCUUUGCGUGUUAGAAAAUGUUCAGUUUGUAUUACAAAUGUUCAAUGUGGAUUUUACAACUUUUCACCGUGUAUUUCAAAUAAUUAUUUAUAUUGCAUUUGAAAAAUGUUUAGCCUGUAUCUGAAAAAUGGUCAAAAUGUAUAUACGAAAAAUGUUCAAUGAGGUCGACAUGUAUUUAAAAAUAAGAAGAAGAAAGAAAGAAAGAAAGAAAUCAAAAUAACGAGGAAAACCAAUACAAAUGAGAGAGAAAACACACGAAAAAAACACGUGAAAGAUUUUGGGAGGUCAUUGACUUGAGAGGCUUUCAAAUCCUACCUCCGCCGAGGAAGGCAACAUCCAAGAAGAAUAGGAAAAUGAAUAUGAGACAAUGGCGCCUCCACAUCGUGUAAAUCUAGAUGGCAACAAGCCAAAAGCCAGUAGGGAAGCAAACUUAGGGAAUAUAUAUAUAUGGACAUCGUGGAGUGGGGGCCGAUCCCUUCCCCCAUCCUCUUCCGGCCAGCAAAACUGACGGAGAGAAGAGGGAGAGGAGGCAGCGGAGUAGACGGAAAGGGGAACGAAUGCGUGAGCAGGAGGAGAGAGAAAGAAAUGGGGAAAAUCACGGGGUUUGCACCUCUUGAAUGGGUUGGUGAUGCCCCACCAACAUAGACCACGGAUCAUGCACUACCUCAAGAACUCAAGGGCCCUCGUCCAGAAAAACGAGCACCAUACCAUUGCUUCAUCAAGAGCGAGAGGGGCAAAGGGAAAUUGUUAGAGAUCCCGAUGCUCAAGGCAGGGGCCACGGCGGCGCGGGCAUGCGACAUACACGUGCAUGGUCCGUCGAAAUCCUGUUUGUGACAAUGCAAGGGCGCAAUUUUGUCAUUUUUUAUGUCUUAGCAGACAAGUUGAUUGUUUCUUGUUCGGCAAGUAUACGACUUGGAAACUAAGUCGGUUUGAGAUCGUGAUCGCGACACGAUACCUCUUCUUUGGUAGUCCUCUAUAUACUGCCUACCGGCCACGGCCAAAGAGACACCAAAAGCCACCUAGGAUUUUGCCUCAUCUCAUAACUUGCACUACUGCAAGAUGCUCCUAACGUGACACUACAAUCAGAGACCCUUCGACGAAACUGUGUGCGAUGCAUUAAUCACAAACGGUGCUGUAAUAAAACUGUAAAAAUGAUGUGAAACGUCUGCGAUGGUGGAGACAUCAAACACGAUUCAGAAUAUAGUUGCGUGUGCGCUGCACCAAUAUGGGUUACGCCACUGUCGGGAAGGAAGGAAGCGUCAGUGUUCAACUUGACUGUUCCCGAACCAGGGGGUUUCCACUGGAUGGUACUAACAGUUUUAGGAUCUCCCGUUAGCAGGUUGGACGGCCCUGCCUGAAUUGACGCAGGUGCACUAACAUCCAAUGUCUGCCCUGCAAGCCCCUGCUUGCCUUUAUCAUUUUUGACAACAUCCCUGUAUCGACAUCCGAUCAGUUCAUAUUCAUACUUCUGAAGGAAGAAUACCGAUCGACUAAUUAGCUCCUUUCAUUCGUUAUGAACACAAUCAUCCCGAAGAAACCAGCUUCGCCACAGUAGCAGGAGAAUUCUUAACCUCAUCUCAGUGCUGCAUGGGUUAAGAAGGUUCUGCAACCAGUCCACCCCCAUGUAGGUGAAAUGGUUUUCUGAAGGAAGAUUCCAGACUCCUCGCAUUUCAUUCCUUAGCACCUGUUGGGAACGUGGCGUGCAAUUUCAAAAAAAUUCCUACGCUCACGCAAGAUCUAUCUAGGAGAUGCAUAGAAACGAGGGGGGGGUGUUUCUGUGUGUUCACAUGAUUAUGCUACUGUAGUAAUCAUGUUUUAUAGCUUUUGUUUCAAUAAAGUGCCAAGUAAAGCCUUUGGGAUAGUGUGGAUGAUAGUUGACUUGAUUCUGUGCAAAAACAGAAACUUUUGCUCCCAGUCUAGGAAUUUUGAAAAUUCACGAGAAUGUGCUUUUGAUCUGGAAUUUUUACACAAGAUUGAUAUACAAAUUGUCUACGUUGUCCUAAUUUUUUUAAAAAAAAAUUGAGUUACAGAGGUAUGGAAAGUUUCCAGAUUACUACAAUCCGUUCUGUCUUAAACAUAUUCUGUUUUCUAUGUGUUGUUCGCUUAUUUUGAUGAAUCUAUGAGUAGUAUCGGAGGGUAUGAACCGUGGAGAAGUUGGAAUACAUUAGAUUGUACGAUCGAAAGUAUGUCUAGAGGGGGGGUGAUUAGACUACUUGACCAAAAAUAAAAAUCUAGCCUUUUCCCAAUUUAGUUCUUGGCAGAUUUUAGCAACUUAGCACAAGUCAAGCAAUCAACCUACACAUGCAAUUCUAAGAGUAUAGCAGCGGAAUGUAAAUCACUGCAUAUGAAGGUAAAGAGGAGGAGUUUGGAGGGAGAAAACGCAAUGUUGACACGGAGAUUUUUGGCGUGGUUCCGAUAGGUGGUGCUAUCAUACAUCCACGUUGAUGGAGACUUCAACCCAUGAAGGGUAACGGUUGCGCGAGUCCACAGAGGGCUCCACCCAUGAAGGGUCCAUGAAGAAGCAACCUUGUCUAUCCCACCAUGGACAUCGCCCACGAAGGACUUGCCUCACUAGGGUAGAUCUUCACGAAGUAGGCGAUCUCCUUUCCCGUACAAACUCCUUGGUUCAACUCCACAAUGUUGACGGAGGCUCCCAAGUAACAGCUAACCAAUCUAGGAGAUACCACUCUCCAAAAGGUAAUAGAUGGUGUGUUGUUGAUGAACUCCUUGCUCUUGUGCUUCAAAUGAUAGUCUCCCCAACACUCAACUCUCUCCCAAAGGAUUGGAUUUGGUGGAAAGAUGAUUUGAGUGGAAAGCAACUUGGGGAAGGCUAGAGAUCAAGAUUCAUAUGGUUGGAUUGGAAUAUCUUGGCCUCAACACAUGAGUAGGUGGUUAUCUCUCAGAAAACGAAUGCUGGAAGUGUAGGCAUGUUCUGAUGGCUUCCCUUACGAAUGAGGAGAGGGUGGAGGGGUAUAUAUAGCCUCCACACAAAAUCUAACCGUUACACACAAUUUAUCAAACUAGGUGGGACCGAAUCAUAAAACUCGGUUAGACCGAUUUAGUUCAUAAUGUGACUGUUAAGCAUUUCAGUGGAACCGACACGUCAACUCGGUUGAACCGAUUUUGUUAGGGUUAGGGCAUAACGUAAUCUCGGUUGGAUCGAUUACACAAACUUGGUGGGACCGACUUUGGUAAUUAGCUAACCAGAGAGUUGGCCAGGCAAACUCGAUGGGACCGAUUUGCUCAUUUCGGUGGGACCGAAACAUUACGAAAGGGAAACAGGGAGUUUGCAUUGCGAACUCGGUGGGACCGAUCGCUCAUCUCGGUUGGACCGAAACAUUACGAAGGGAAACAGAGAGUUUGCAAUCCCAUCUUGAUGAGACCGAGAUCCCUAUAGGUGAGACCGAAGUGACUAGGGUUUCUGGCAGUGGCUAUGUCAAAUGAACUCAGUGGCGCCGGAUGGAUCAAAUCGGUGGGGCCGAGUUUGACUUUUGGUUUGGGACAUAUGUGGAUAUGAGAAAGUGGUUGACGGUUUUUGGAGCAUAAAGCAUUUUGAGCAAGCAAGCCAUUAAGCAACACCACAUCCCCUUUUAAUAGUAUUGGCUUUUCCUAAAGACUCAAUGUGAUCUUAGAUCACUAAAAGUAAAAUGUAGAGUCUUGAUCUUUAGAGCUUGAGCCAAUCCUUUGUCCUUAGCAUUUUGAGGGGUCAACAAUCCUAAUCCAUGCCAUGCCAAUCGUUGAACUUUCCUGAAAUAUUAAUCUUGAAAUAGCAUUAGUUCAGUGAGCUAUAUGUUGUUAAUCAUUACCAAAACCACCCAGGGAUAGCUGCACUUUCAAUAUCCCCCUUUUUGGUAAUUGAUGACAACAUAUAGAUCAAAGCUUCGACAAAAGAUAAUUAGAUUGAAAUACAUCGUCGCUUUGAAAAGUAUGUGAUAAGCAAGAGCUCCCCCUAAAUUUGUGCAUUAUUUAGGAUUUGCUUUUGAAUGCAAAUGCACAAUCGAUUAGUAUCAUGGGUUACUCUUCCAUGUCACAUACAUCUUGGUGGAGCGCUCAAAAUGAUAACAAUUAAAAACAUGCACUCAUCACCAAGCAAAGUGAAUGACCAUAUAUGGAUACAAGAGAUAAUGUCAUUCAUGCACUCAUUAAAGUAGCAUGUGAUCAAACACAUGAUCAUCCAAGUAUCUCACAAAAGGACAUAAUGUAUCAAGCAAACACACAUUAAAGUUCAACCAAAUAAAGUGCAAGAGAGACAAAAAGCAACACUCUCUCUCUCUCUCUCAAAGACUAUGAUCUAUACAUAUUUCUCCCCCUUUGGCAACAAGUUACCAAAAAGUUCAAAUAUGCAUAGUGUUAUGCGUCUCUCAGGCUUGAUCUCCAUGAGGUGGGGUAGUGAUGACUCCAAGAAUGAAGGCUUCAGUUGAUGUAGCUGGAGUUUCUGGAGUGGCUGCUGGAGGCGACAUUGAAGCUGUGGCUGCUGGUGCUGAUGUAGUAGCUCAUGUAUCUGGAACUGGCACUGCAGCAGACCUCUGACCUCUUGGCACAUAUUGAAAAGCUUCUGUAUAGUUGCCUUGCCUUUCUUCUCCUCUGCUUCCUCCUGGAGCUACUCAACUACUGACUGAAUCUCAGUUACUUUUACAUCAAGAUCAUAGAAUUUUUGCUCAAUGAUUCUCUCCAAACUCCCCUGAUUCUGAGUCAGUGUGGCCAAGCCCUUCUCAAUCCUCAAGGUAGAUUGAACCAGAAAUCCAAGUUGAUCUUGUUUGCUCUUCAAGAACACCUGAGAUGCCUCUUCGGCACUUGGCAUCUUUGCAUCCUUCUCUGCCCUUGCCUUUGCUCUCUUCUCAUGUGCUUGCACUGAUGAAGGGUCAUUCUCAUCCAUCACAACUGUGUUAUCUUCAAAAUCUGGCUUGAGAGGUAAGUGCUCCUUGUCCAACAAGUAAGUGCCUGUGCCUAUCUUUGAGUUGAUGAGCACCUGAAUUUGUGGAGCAUACCCACAAGACCUCUUCUGAUCAGCAGUUGUCCUCUUGAUUGUUUCUACAAUUAGACUCAUCACCUUGAAUUUCUGAGGGACAUAAAAAAUGUGCAGCAAGUUGAUUGAAUGUCCUCUUAUCAUCCUGUGAUCUCCAGACUUGGGCAAAAGAGUAUGCCUCAGGAUGGUGUUGAUUGUAGGUAGACCAGACAAUAGAUACUUUACUGAGCCCAACUUAUGAGUUUCCAGGUCUUCAUCAGGAAUUUCCUUGUACAUACUUGCCAUUGAGUUGUGGUCUUUCUUCUUCUUGGCAUACACAUCCAAGUCAUCCUCAUGAGUUGCUGGGGCAUUUAUCAACUUGGCCCAUUCGUCAACAGUUGAUUGGUACCUUGUACCUUCUGACAUCCAUACUCCUACCAUCUGGAUAGAAGUGAGUAGUGGAGUAGAAUUGCAUGAUCAGCUCAUCAUUCCACUUGGUGAGCUUCUGUCCAACAAACUUGUCAACUCCACAAGCCUUGAAGCUAUCAUAUAUACCUGGGAAGUGAUCUUCAUUCUCUCUCAUGUAUGUCCAGUCAACCCAUCUCAUGUCACAGACAAUUGGCUUCUUGUCAAGCAGAAUGGUCUCAUAGAAGUCUUGUUGUUCCUUAGUGUGGAACCUGUAAUCCACUGCAGUUCUCCUUCUCACAGCAUAAGGAUCACUUUUCCUCCAAAGUCUCAUACCUGCAUCCUUCCUGAUGCUCAUGUCCUCUGCCACUGGAUGAGUGUCAUUGUGGUCUGAGAUCUUUGGUUUGAGCUUUCUCGGCACUUGGGCUUCAGCUUCUUCUUCUUUAGCUUCAGGCAUUGGGGCCUUGUUCUUCUCUUCAGCAGGAAUGUUUCUUGUGCUUCUUUUGGGUGCAGACUUGGUGGCUGGAGCAGCAGCUUUGGGAGCAGGUUUGGGCUUAGGAGCAGCCCCUGAAUUGAUUGCAUCUCCCAUAAGCUUUUGGGAUUUGGGUGCUGGAGCAGCAUCCUCUUCCUCUUCCUCUUCAGAAUCUCUCACCAUUGUUGACUUUCCAAGAACUUUAGCAGUAGUGGUUCUUGCCCUCUUCUUCUUCUUGUCAUUACCAGCUGCGUCACCAUCUUUUGAUUCUAGAGUGAACUUCAUGGUUUCUCUUGUGGCAACUUUUCUUGGCUUAGAUGUUGGGAUUCUCCUAGCUGGUGCCUUCUUGUUCAUGCCAGGCUUUGUUGAAGCAGUAGUGCCAAACUCCUUCUUCACCACCUUCCUCUUUGAGAUGGCUCAUCCUCAGCUGCAACAUAAUCCUCAUCCUCAGAGUCUGGGGUUCUCUUCUUCCUUGCUCUAGUGGAUGCCGUGGGCAAGUUACUUGGUGUGCUCUUGCUGCCCUCAUCAUAGCUGCUUGAGGUACUAGUGCCCUCACUCAUUUGCACUUGCUCUUCAGACUUAUUCUGGCUAUCACUUUGGUCAGACAUCUUGGCAGGCAAACUGACAGCAAACCCUAUGAAUAGAUAUAGAUGAGGUAGAGUAGAUGAGCAUCAAAAAGUACAGAGAUAUUGCAAAACAAAUGAGUCAAAAACUUAGUUUUAGUUCUCUACAGAAAUGAUCUCGAAGCUACCGAAUUGAUAAACUUGGUGAUACCGAAGCAACAUUUGGAACCUAAACUAGUGAACUCGGUCAGACCGAGUCACAGUUCGGUGGCACCGAGAUUGCUAGGGUUUCACAGAGAAUUGAACUCGGUCACACCGAUUUGCAGUUUUCGGUCAGACCGAAAAGUGCAUGUGCAAUGGCCUAAGCCAAAUCGGUGAGACCAAUUUCUAUGAUUCGGUCGGUCCGAGAUGAGUUCUGCGGAGAGUUAACCCUAAAAUUUUCAAAUCAAACUAGGCCUAAGGAAGUUUUAGAUCGAUAGAUCGAUUUCAUUCGUGGCAAGAACCAUGGCAUUGUCCUCGUGCUUAGAAUUGAGGUGAAUAGACAGCACAAGGGGUCGAACACAUACCCUAGUUCGACGGGUGUUUGCUACGGCAGCAACGGCGGAGCAGAUUCCGUCAACGACGGUAGAAACCAGCGGCGGGAGGUCACUGGCGGCAAGGAGGCGAUCUGGAGACCCGAGUAGGCAGAGCAGGACACACGCGGGCUGAGGGGUUUUGAAGAAAUUUCCAAAAUCUCACUCGUGGUAUAUAUAUCCCGACCCUGUCGGUGUGACCGAGUGGAACAACUCGGUGGCACCAAGAUUGCAGAAUCGCAAGUGGUUGCUGCAACUCGGUGUGACCGAAGUAUUCAAAUUGGUUGCACCGAGAUGAAAACCUAGAUCAACUUAGUGAACUCGGUUUGACCGAAAUGGAUGACUCGGUCAGACCGAAAUGCACAAAGAGGUUUUGGAAGUUUAAGUCUAUGACGAAUCGGGGACUCCGAGUGCUCCUCACACAGAGUGGUUCGAAUCUGACUUGUUCAAACUUUGGGAUGUAGCAUGAAUAGAGUUUGAGACGAGAAAAGCAUAGAUAGCUAGAGAGGGUUCUUAGGCAUUCUUGUCCAUCCACUUGGCAAAGGAGAAAGAGCCAAACAGCCAAAACAACAAGUGGAUGUCCUCGAAUGAGUAAAAUAUGCAACCAACAUGCUCACACAAUAAAAUGGCAAAUGAAAUAUGUGGCAAAGCAUGCACAAACACUCUAGCAUCUAUGAAGAAAUUUGCAAUGACUAGGUCAUCUAUGUAUGAGUAUAUUGACUUAUGAGUCAAAUGAGAACAUUUGAUCAUAGGUCAUACUCAUUGUUUAAGCACAAGUGGGGUUACCACUUUUACAUAAAGCAUUGUUGUGUUCACACCAUUAUAUAGAGUUGCUUUAACUCAAGUCUUAGAGUAAAGCUCCCCCUAGAUGUGAUAUUCCCCCUAAGAGGGGUGAACUAACCUUGGGUUUUGUUGAUGAUGACUUCAUGUAGGUGUUGAAAAUGUGGAUGCUCAAUGUUGAUGUAGAUCAUUCGGAGCUAUCCAUUGGAGUGAGUUGCACUUUAAAUACCUACACAGGUUAGUCCCACAAGGAACAAACAAGGAUAUCCAUAGACAUAGAGUGAUGCACACACAAGAUGAUGUCCAUGAAAGCAUUAGGUUACCUUGUCCCUUGUCUUACCAACAAGAGGGUUGUGACUCCUUGAACUAGGGAAAGAUGUGGAAGUAAUUUGCACUUGUUCUUGCCAAAAUAAUCUGAGUCAAGUGUGUUGGCAGAGUCACCCUCAAGAACUCUCUAGUUCUUCUUCUUCGGGAUCCACAUCAUCUUGAUGGGAAUCCUUGGGGUUGUAGUCAUACUUGAUGAAGUAGAACUUGAUGUAGUCUUGGGAACCCACUUGACCAAGGCCUUGGGAGCUUCUUCAAAUGCAUCAACUUCCUCUUGAAGCUUAUCCUUGCCUUUUUGCUUGUGGUCUUGUGGUGGAAGAUCAUCUUGAGCUUGUGUCCCUUGGAAAGAAGUAGGAUCGUACUUCUCUUGUUGAGGAACAAACUUCGUCUUGGGGUGUUGAUCUUCUUCGCACUCAACUCCAUUGCCAUUGAACUUUCGUUCAAAACCAACACCUUGAUUCUUCCGGUGCCUUCCUUGCUUGCAUACAGUUUCCUCAAAUUGCUUACUUCCAGCAAGGCUCUUGUAAACACCUUUCUCUAUAAUUCCCUUCAAUAAGCUAUUUUCUUGCUCAAGUGUAACUUGGAUAAGAGAAUCAUUAGUGGAAUCAAGAGAACUACUAGAAGCAACAACAUUAGAUUUAGCAUGAUUAUUGUUACUACUAGAAGAAGAAUAUUUCUUACUUUUGUUGCUGGAUUUAACUUGUGGCAUGUAAGUAGACAAGAGUAAACGCUUGGCAAUGUAAGAAUAACUUUUCUUGCGAAGAUAGUCAUUAUUGCCUUUAAAAACUCAUGUUCUUGCUCAAGGUUGAUCUUUUCAAAGCAUAACUUCUCAUGAGUCUUUAAAAGUUCUUGAUGAUCUUCCAAGGUAGUUUCAUGAGCUAACUUAAGAGUGUUUAGUUCUUUAGUUAGACGCUCAAUCUUCUCCUUACAAUUGUCAUUCAUUUUAUCUUGAUUAGCAUGAUUAAUUGACGUUUCAUCAUAGUAUUCAUCACUAGAGUUGUCAACAAGUAAAUCAUCAUCACCUAACAAAUCAUCUUCAUCACUAUUGAAAUCAACAUACUCGGGGUGUGAUACCUUUGGGCCUUUAGCCAUGAAGCAUCUUCCAAUUCCUUCAUUUGGUGAGUCAAAUAUGUCAUAGGAGUUGGUUGACACAAGUGCUAGACCGGGAACACCUUCAUCUUGAGUAUAUUCGGAGUCGAAGUGAUAAUUUCUUUUGGAGUGAUGGUCGGAGUCGGAGCCGGAUACCCAUUCACCAACAUGAGCUUGAUGUCUUUGCUUUGUGUAGCUCUUUGAUGACUUGUCCUUCCUUUCCGAAUCCUUGCUUCUCCGGGAUCACUACAAAAAAAUACACUUCCGUGAUGAUACAUGUUUGUCAUAGUAGGUCACAUUUUCUGUCAUGCAUGUACAUCCAUGACGAUUUUAUGACAGAAUCAAGAUAGUCAUACAUGUGCUGUCGUAGAAGUGUUCCAUGACAUUACCAAAAUUAUCAUCACAGAAGUGUCCACUUCCAUGACGAUAAAUCGCCAUCAUAGAAGUGCUUUCGUCAAGGGUGACCAACACGUGGCAUCCACCGUAACGGAACGCCGUUAAGCUAUCGGGUCCGGUUUUGGAUCCAAUAACCCGUUAAGAGCCCGGACCAAUGGGGAUUUUCCAUGUGUAAAAUCAUCAUUGGCUGGAGGAAACACGCGUCAGCUCUGCGUUGGCACAGGUGUCACUCAUCCAAUGGGGGAGAUGCGCCUAUGAUAUGUUGACACGUGGACCGGCCCAAAAGUGGCCCAUAAAGUUUAAAUAGGUCGGCUAAACUAAAGGCCAACAAGAUUUUGCGGACCAUAAUGGGCCGGCCCAGCUAAAGGCCCACGAGAUUUUGCGGACCAUAAUGGGCUGGCCCAGCUAAAGGCCCACAAGAUUUUGUGGGCCAUAAUGGGCCGGCCCAGCUAAAGUCCCACAAGAUUUUGCGGGCCAUAAUGGGCGGGCCCAGGUAAAGGCCCACAAGAUUUUUGCGGACCAUAAUGGGUGGGCCCAGCUAAAGGCCCACGAGAUUUCGCCGACCAUAAUGGGUCGGCUCAGCUGAAGGCCCACAAGAUUUUGAGGACCCUAGUAGGCCGGCCCAUUAACUGACUGCCAUGUUUUGGGCCAAAUGUCGGCCCAUGUUUGAUCCGGUCCAUUAAUGGCCUGCCAUGUUCCGGGCCUAAAAAUGGCCCAUAUGAGAUCCGGCCCAUUAAAAGCCUACCACGUUUUGGGCCAAAUUACGGUCCAGAUCAGGUUCGACCCUUUAAGAGCCUUUGGGAUAAAUUAUGGCCUAUAUUAGAUUCGGGUCGUCAACUGGACGCUAUGCUUUUGGGCUCACUUGCUAAAGGCCCAUUUAGUAAUUCGGCCUGAUAUUAGUUUUGGCCUGUUAAAGGCCCGUUUAACAUUUCGGCCCUAUAUUAAUUUCGGCAUGUUAAAAGCCUGUCAUAUAGUUGGGCCUAACUACGGCCCGGUUUGCAUCCAGCCUGCUCGCAGCCGAUAAUCUGAUUGGGCCAAACAAGGACAGAGACAAUUUUGGCCUGUUAAAAGCCCAUGAUUUGAUUGGCACAAUCAUGGGCUGGGGUCCAUUUCGGGCUGCUGCCGGCCCAUGAGCUAUUCGGCACAUUUCAGGCCCAACCUACUUUUCAGCCUCCUAAAAGCCCAUUGAGUUUUCUUGCGAAAAGAGGGCCGGCGGUUUACUCGGCCUAUUAAAGGCCUGAAUCUACUAGUGGGCCAGUUUACAUUUAGGCCUUUUAACUGACCAAGAUGACAGGGCCCAUGAUGCGGAUCAUACAUCGUGAUUGCAUGACGGCCCGAUUAUGUACCGUAAUUUUACGGUUUGGCCGGUUUACUGCGAAGACAGGAUAUAUAUACAGUAAAAUAACUGCAGCAUCGUGAAUAAUAAAAAACCUAGUCUAUACAAUAAAUAAAUUACGGCAUAUUACAUCCACUGGGCAUCAAAGUUCACCGCUAUGAUAAUAAACCACAAGCAGACAACAGAUUACAUACACUGGGCAUCAAAGAUCGCCACCAGUACAAAUAAACACGCCGACAAAAUAAUAUACAAAACCGACAGCUCUUCAAUAGAGUUCAAGAAAGGUUAGCUCUGCUCGGGACCUACAGUGCAAGCACCUGAGCAAGCUGAUGAGACUGCACUUGUUUAACACUUAUAUCCUCCUCACUCUGAAAGAUAAACAAGCAGACAGAUGACAUGUUUUGCACAUAAAAGUAUCAGUGCUGACAAUUCAUCACAUUUCUUACUGAUGAAUAAAGUGACACAUUUUAAAAUUGCAUUAACACAAUAUGGUAUUGUUCAGGUCAAGACAUGGCAGGAAAUGACAUUGUGAAGGAGUUGGCAGCUUCAUGACACCACUGGAUUACAAAUCAAGAACCCAUAAGUAUCAAUGGUUAGUAUGCUGUCAAUUUAUCCCAUUUUAGAUUGGCAAAUAAAAAGAAGGUUUAAAUAAUAGUAGAAUGAUAUGACAUUGUUCAUAGUUAAGACAUUGCAGAAUAUGACAUUGUGCUGCAAUGGGUAGGUUCACCACACCACUGGAUUACGGAUCAAGAAUAGAAGCAUACAUGGAGUGCAAAAGAAGAUUACUUGCUCUGUAUAGUUUAAUUUACAUGGUAUGAAGAAGGAACUUGGUUGUACAACUGAAAACUUAAAUUGAGAAGGACAAACUUUUGUUUAUGAACUACAUAAUAAACUUUAAACAUGCAAUUUGAUGCAGACACAAAAAAUAAACAGUUGUUGUAGUCAUGCCUAACAAAAUAUACACAACAAAGUUUGAAGGCUUGAGAAGGACAAACUUACAUUAUUGGUGAAGACAAGCUCUAUAAAUCCCUUGUCCAUGCUGAUUGGGGGGGGGCAAUUCAAGAAGUUUACCAUGGAAUAUUCUUCAUAAGCAUUGUCUUUAUUCUACAUUUUGUUAAAAGUAAAUAUAGAUGUGAUAAUAUAAGAAAAAAUGGAGAAUAUUUAAGAUAAGAUGAAGAGUGAUGCUACAUAACCAAGUAGCUAUAAAUGUAAGUACAACGAUACAUGCAAAAGGUACAUCCAAGAACAAUGCACAGCUAAACUUCUUCAGUACCAUCGGUGUUAUCCAAGCUUAUGGUAAGAGUAAAUAUAGAUCUGAUGUGUAGAAAAUGGAGGGUAAAGGAAAAUAAGCUGGAAAGUGAUGGUACAUGAACAACUACCUGUCAAUAUAAGUACACUGACACCAAGUACUUACAAGAACAAUGCAGAGUAAAAAAAUUCAUUGGCAUUGGAUAUAUUCUACGCUAAUGUAACCAUUCAUACAGAUCAGAUAAUUUGGAGCGAACAAUUGAUAAACAAGCUAUCAUGCAUACUGUUGUCACAUAAUGAACCAGGUAUGUAUGCAAGUACAGUGAUACAGGACAACAGGUACUAACAAGAGCAAAACAGCGGGCAACAUAUUUGCGAUAUCCUGUCGUUCUUUUCAAACCAGAAUUCUUCUUCGAGCAGAUUUCCUACAAAAAAAGAUCCGUAAGGCACAUGCAGAAAAGUAGAAGUUCAAAUUGUCAUGUGAUUUCAUAGACAGUACCUCAUCCUGGGAAUGAGACCAGUGCAUAACAAGGUUUUUCCAUUCAAAGUCUUCUAAAUUUAGCACAGGAGACUUCACCAGAAAUUCGUUUAUAGACUUGCCAUCAAAGUGUGAUUUCCUCAGGUAACACCGAUACUGCUGCAAUGCUUCCUUGAAAAGCACAAGCAAGCUUUGCUCGUCAUGACUAUCCAGAUUGAACCUCGCCUACUUACAACAAUGUAAUGUAAGUCAUUGAUGUGUUCAAUCAGCAGAAACAAGAAAAUAAUAACCAUGAAUUAUAGCACUUACAUGUAAGUUGGAUAGGAAGAUGUGAAAAUGGUGUUUGUCUUCACUAUAAUCUUCCCAUGAUGGGAAUAUAUGCACGUAGUCCCUAACAACAUUGAAAGCAUUGUCUUUUAAACUGGGAAUAACUGGAAUGGGGUUCCAAUCUGCAGGAAUUGGCCAUCUCUGCAGUUGGGAUAGGUCUUCGGCCAGUGGACUUGCUGUACUUUUUGCUGGAGUGGGAUUUUUCUGUGGUACGACUGGUGCUAUGGCAACUAAAAUCGGUAUACCUUUUGCUGGAGUGCAGGUCCUGUGUGGUGGGGCUAGUUGUGUGGCUAGUGAAGUAUGGGUACAGUUUGCUGGAGUCGGUCCUACGUUUUGUGUCACUGGUUAUACUGCCAAUAUAAGUGGGGUGCUGUCUGAUUUCUCCGACACCACCACGUUUUUCAAGGACUUUGCUGGUGCUCCUUCAGGUUCGGCAAUCACCCUCUUCCUUUUUGAUGUCUGAUGCACAAGAACAUCAUUUGAGUGGAAAACAUGGUAUGAUGACAGAUGGAAUAUGUAUUGAUAAUGGAUGGGCAUGGCAUCUCGACAUAUAUGAUGAGUAAACUAAGCAGAUGGUGGUGCAACAAAGUAGAAGAAAUGCAAGACAACAUAUGCAAGAUACGCGCAAUCAAUAAAACCUUGCCAAAUUAGAACAGACACCUUGAUGGGUGAACAGGACAGGCCAUCUGCCUUUGACUCCUCGAGGUUAGAAUAGUCAUUAGGAUCAUAUUUUGAACAGGAAUCAACAGGUGGGGAGCGUAUGAGUUUCAUUGCAUCCAGAAUGGCACUCAAUGCCUUGGUGCCAAUUUUGUAAGUCAUUGCAGUGUUUAGCUUCAAGAGUGGACUGCUGCUAGUGCAACACAAAGCAGCUACACAUAUCAUAGUGUAGAUAUAACAGGAACACCAUAAGCAUCAGAAUAAAAUCAGCAAAGUGGAACUUGCUGGAAUAUAUGUGCUAGUAUUGCCGAUACGGCUAGAAAGGCUUCAGACACCAGCUCUCUUCAACUAAAGGUGCGGUACUGUUAAUAUUAGUGUAACUCUCAAAAGCGACACAACUCCCCGCAUUUCCUUGCUAUUCUUAUAGGAUUCAAGUGGGUAGUGUCGGUGUCAAAACCGGCGGAUCUCGGGUAGGGGGUCCCGAUCUGUGCGUCUAAGGUUGAUGGUAACAGGAAGCAAGGGACACGAUGUUUUACCUAGGUUCGGGCCCUCUCGAUGGAGGUAAAACCAUACUUCCUGCUUGAUUAAUAUUGAAGAUAUGUGUAGUACAAGAGUAGAUCUACCACGAGAUCGUAGAGGCUAAACCCUAAGAGCUAGCCUAUGAUGGUAUGGUUGUAAUUGUGAUCGGCCUUCUAAGGACCAUCCUCUCCGGUUUAUAUAGACACCAGAGAGCUAGGGUUUACAUGGAGUCGGUUACAAGGAAGGAAAUAUAAUAUUCGGAUCGCCAAGCUUGUCUUCCACGCAAAGGAGAGUCCCAUCCGGACAUGAGACGAAUUCUUGAGUCUUGUAUCUUGACGCUUCUAUAGUCCGGACGAUGUAUAUAGUCCGGCUGUCCGGAUGCCCCCUUAUCCAGGACUCCCUCAGUAGCCCCUGAACCAGGCUUCAAUGACGAUGAGUCCGGCACGCAGUCUUGUCUUCGGCAUUGCAAGGCGGGUUCCUCCUCCGAAUACUCCAAGGUUAUUAUCGAACACGUAGACCGUGUCCGGAUCUACAAGGUGAUCUUUGCAUCCCCUACAUGAACUCGUUCUGCUGGCAAUCUUUGUACGUCGUGCCCUUGCAUCAUGGCCUGGUCCAACACGAACCGCCGUCUCCUGCUCCACCUCGACUCGCGUUGCGAGGCGGUUUUAUUGGCACGUCCUGCCAAAGCAGAGAUCGUGUCCCUCUUAAUACAGGAUCUUUCAUCAAUAUGGGCAUAUGUGACCCCAUGGCGACCGUUGGUAUGAUUCCGUGUAUUUUAGAUUAGUCUCAAGCGGUCAUGCUUAGGACUCUUGGUAUUCAUCCCUUUUAUAAAGAGGGUCAAGGCCUACGCCUCUUUUCCACCUCUCCUGCUACUUCUCGCACCUCGAGCUCCAGCACUCAAAACCUAUGCUCCAACACCCUAGAUCCUCCAGUAUGUCUGGAUCUGACGCAAAAGGAUAGUGGGUGGCCUCCUUGAUCCAAGAGGAGGAUAUCGCUAAGCUUAGGGAGGUCGGAUACCUGACCGCCGAUAUCCAGCACAGGCUUCCUGCUCCGGGGCAAAUAUCCCCACGCCGGAGCCCAAUGAGAGCGUCAUGUUUGUCCCUCACUUCCUCCGAGGCCCGAGCCUCACCCUCGACCCCUUUGUGAGGGGCUCAUGUUCUACUAUGGCUUGGAUUUCCAUGAUCUGGCUCCAGACGCCAUCCUCCAUAUCUCGUCGUUCAUUAUUGUGUGCGAGGCUUUUCUCCAUGUCAACCCACACUUCGGCUUAUGGCUCAAGACCUUCAAUGUGAAGCCGAAGAUGAUAGAGGGGCGACAUGCAGAGUGCGGAGGUGCCAUAAUAAGCAAGAACACCGAUGCCCCAUGGCCAGAGGGUUCUUUUCUGUAAGUAUCCGAUGUAUGGCAACGGAGGUGGUUUUAUGUUACAGCUCCCAGAGGCACAAAGUGGGUGGCCGCCCCUGAGUUCCGCUCGGGCCCUCCGUCACAGUUAGCAUCUUGGACCGACGUAGUAUGGAAUUAUGGGCCUGCUGGCGAUGUGCCAGAACUGUAGAAUUGUAUCCGGGAGAUUAUUGAGAGGGACAUAAAUCUUGUUAGCAUAAUGCAAGUGAUGCUAGUCCGACGGAUGUUGCCGUGCAAACGUCGACCUCUCCGGAUGUGGGAGUUUAAUCCGGAGGGUCCGCGGACUAUUAAGCACUUCUUCGGCCUGAAGCUCAAAGGAAUGUGUAAAUUAUUCUUCGGACCACAAGUAAAGUGUCCGGACACCACCGAGGAUGCGGGCCUAAGCUGCAAUCGCCUAGAUGCCCAAGUAAGUAACCUUAAAGCCGGACACUUCAUUUAUAUUUAUCAUAACUAUUAUUCUGAACAUCCUUCCGUGGCCAGGAAUGGCUCAACAAGGCGGAGAGAAUCAGGUGACCGGCGCCACUUCCUGAAGGCUCGUCUGGUCCAACCAUUGCAAAGAUGCUGGGUCGAGCGCUCAACAAAAUCCCUUCAGGGAACGGCGAAGGAAAGGGCAGUGAAGCUGAACUUCACGUGCUACGCAUCCAGACCGGGGAAAUCACUACCCGUCCUAUGGAGGAUAGCCGGAAAGGGGAGGCACAAUCCUCCUCCCCACGCGGGAAGAAAAGGGCCGCCUCCGAAGAUUUGGAGGCAGAGACGCCCAAGCAAGGGAAGAAAGCAUCACCAGGGGGCUCUGCCAUGACGGGCAUCCUCACCGCAUCGUGCCCACCAACAGGCCAGCCCUCCACCAAGCCGUAAGUUAUUCAUUAAUUCGAAGGUAUGGUGUUACUCCAAGAUCCAUAACUGGGACUUCGUCUUUUGUAGUCCGGCAAGCAGCUCUUCUCAACAGAGUUCGUCUUCGGGGGACCUACUUUCGGAGAUGAUGGAGAGUGAGACUCCACCCCCCCUCUCCGCCUCAUGAGGCGGGCGACACCGAGGUGUCGUCACGGAGGAGUCCGGACCUGCCAAAGCUGGAGGCUAACACGUUAGCCGCCCUGAGCCCGGAGCGUUUGGCUCCCACGGGGGGCGAUGAGAAGGGUCCGGCAUAGUUCAGUGUCCGGCCGGACGUACUGACGGGCCGUCUGGAGCGAGCCGCGCUCUCGGAGGAGCACCACUCUUUAAUGAGCACGGUGCUCAUGAAGAUUUCAUCCGCUACCAGCAGUUUGAAUGAGGCGUUUGCAAGCCUGCUCAAAGGCUUUGAGGUAUGUAGUAAAAAAUGCACAAUUUUUUGGUUAUGAAGCGCGCGCUAGGUGUCCUCCCUAUAGAUAGUAGCCCCUGAGACUCUGGUUGCCCGCCAUAGGCGGCAAACGGGGGAUCAUAUACUAAUGGCUACGCCGUACAUGUGCGCAGGUAUACAAAGAUCCGGCAGCCGACCAGUCUGUUGAAGUUGCCGAACUAAGGAGGCAAAUCGGAUCUAUUGAUGCUGAUAUUACGCUGGUGAACAAACGGCUGGAAGAAUCCCAGGGUAUGUGCUCUGCUUCCUUUAUUAUAUUGUAUAGGAAGAUGUGAGAAUGGCAUAAUGUUAAUGCCCUGUGUAUGCACUGCAGAUGGUGCGCUGAGGCCCUAAGUGCAGAGCUUGCUCAGGCCAAGGAACAAGCUCGGGCUAGCAAUGCGGCUGCCCUAAAGGCGGUCGAAGAGUUGAGAGCCGAACAGGUUGCUCAUCGCUGAAGCGAGGAAAAGAUGGCCGAAAUGGCUGAAGAAUUGAAAAAUGCCGCCGACCGGUAUGCACUCCUGGAAAAGGAGAAUAAGGCUAGUUCGGCUGAGCUGGAUAAGGCACUUAAUGCCGCCAAGGAGAUGCGGAUCGAGAUCCGAGGUAUGCGGGAGGAACUUCAACAGGCUGACAAAAUUGUGGCUGGGGGCUCGUACCUACUGCGACGAAGUUUUUGGAUCCAAAGUAUGCCCCCCUAGCUGGGCGCUUUAGUCUAGCAGACGCAUAUGUGGACCUGGUGAAUAAUACAGCCGAUGCUGUCAAGUUCUUCGAGGAUCAAGGUGAUAAGGAAGUGGAGAAGGUUUUCUGGUCACAAUUCAAUGCUCCCGCCCGCUGCCGCUAAAUGAGAAGGUGGCUGCUAUGGCGGAGCUCCACAGGUUGUCCGGGCUUGCAAUGCGGUCUGUAAUAGACCAUCUUUGGCCACAGGGGCCUAAGCCGGACAGCUACUUUGGUUUGGUCCAGAAAUUCCUUGGGGCCGUGUCUCGGAUUGAUGCCAUGAGGAGGUCGGCGUGCAUAGAGGGUGCGCGGAUGGCUCUAGCCCGCGUUAAAGCCUAUUGGACGGAUAUGGAGGCCACUGUAAUAGCGACCCAGGAUCCGGCGGGAGGCCAAUAUCCGGCCGAGCACUACUUGGUGCAAGUCACAGAAGGUGCUCGCCUAAUAGAGGCGUAGUGCUCGAAGAAUGUUUAGUUCGAGUGAUAAGUCGAAUCAUUGUAGAAAACAAUGUUUAGUUUAAUUAUGAGGCAAUACUUUUGCCCGGAAGUAUGAUUGUAUCCCUUUUGCGGCCGUUUUUAUAUGUAUAAGUAGUCCGAAAGAUAGCAGUCGUUGGCUUCAGCCCCCACGCAUACAAUGCGGGGGUAUUCGCAAAAAAUAUGCCUAAUCACACUUGAUCCAACGUCUUGGUCCAUUAAGGAGGUGAUUGCACGUUGAACUAGGCAACCGAACUAUAUAGCUAUAACACUUUCGCUUAGCCAUGGGAGUAUAAUGGUGGGGCUACUAUGUAGCCCCUGGUACCUUCGCGUGCAUCCGAAUACGGGCGCGUGUGUACAUGGCCGGUAAACGGCCCUUCGUUAAUGUGGAGGAAUCCUUAAAGAUUCCGGUGAGUCUUCGAGUGGUUGAACAGUCUCUUGCUGUAUCAUGACAGUCAAUUUUCGGCUUUCUCUACUGAGGCGCUCAUCCGGAAUAACCAGGGCACAAUCGCAGUAGUUCUCCUUUAGCCUGCCUUAGCCGGUGAUAACGGAACGUAAGGCGACAAACCCAGGAGCUAGGAAAACCCAACAUUUAACCAAAGACAUGAUUCGGAGCUGAUGCAUAUACGGCCAAACUCAUGACGCCGAACACUCCCGAGGGUAUUCGGUCUUUGUAAAAGAAAAUAGGCUGACGAGAGCCUAUUAUAAGCCCUUAGUUUCUAGGUACGUGCAAUUUUAGUCUGCCAUGGCCAAAUGCCAAUAAUGACAGUAUCCUUUGUGGGUAUAGAACCCAUGGGAUGGUUAAACAACAAGAGGCAGUAGAAAAGGUUUACACAGGGGCUUAAUCUAAAAAGAAACCUGUUGAACGGGGCCCUGCUUCACGUCUGCGCCUUUGUCUCCGUUGUGCCGUAUCCUGGAAGGGUAUCACGCGAACGUUGUCUGUAAAAAAAAGGAAAACUCGUAGGGGAGUGCAACAUAAGUAUGCGAUUGAUAAUAAAAGUGUAAGAUGUUGGCCUUCCAAUAAGGUUGAGCCAAAUGUGGGGCUGUAUGAAAUAUUUAUUGCCCCUGGUUUCCGCUAUGGGAUUACAUAUACGGUGCCCUAGUUAAAUUUUAUCCGGGCUACCGGACUCGUCUAACCGUGUCUGUGGUUUUAAUGACCAGUCAUGUUUUCUGAUAUUGGAGGCCGCUUAUAGUUCGGCCGCUAGGGCCGUCGUGUGUUCCUCUGCGCGUGAAGAGCGCUCUGUGAUUCCGCUAAUGGUUAUGACACCACGAAGACCGGGAAUCUUGAGUGUAAGGUAGCCAUAGUGUGGCAAUGCGUUGAAGUGGUCGAAGGCCGCUCUUCCAAGCAAUGUGUGAUAUCCGCUUUGGAAAGGUGCGAUGGUGAAGAGUAGUUCUUCACUUCUGGAGUUGCCUAGGGGGGCGAAUGUUACUUCCAGCAUGACAGAGCCCCUGCCAUAGGAUUCAACGCCUGGUAUCACCCCUUCAAAGGUGGUGUUGCUUUGGCUAAUUCUGGAUGGGUUUAUCCCCAUUCUGCGGACAGUGUCCUCGUAUAUUAAAUUGAGACUACUACCGCCAUCCAUGAGGACACAGGUGAGACGGUAUCCAUCAAUUAUUGGGUCAAGCACCAAGGCAUGUGAUCCUCCUCGCCGGAUAGUAGUUCGGUCGUCCAUGUGAUCGAAAGUGAUCGGACGAGACAUCUAGUAAUGAAAUGUGGGUACGAUGGGAUCUACAUCGUGCGCGUCUAUGGGCGCACAUUCAUGCCUUCUCGUGGAUGUGUGAGUCGCGUGGAUCAUGUUUACUGUUUUAACCUCUGGCGGGAAUUUUUUCUGUCCCCCAGUAUUCGGUUGGCGAGGUUCGUCCUCGUCUUCACUUGGUGUUUCCCUCUCUUUGUGUUCGGCGUUUAAUUUGCCGGCCUGCUUCAAGACCCAGCACUCUCUAUGCGUGUGGUUUGCAGGUUUCUCCGGGGUGCCAUGAAUUUGGCAUAGUCUGUCCAGGACUCUGUUCAGACCGGACGGUCCCUCUUUACUGCCUUUGGAUGGCUUCUUUUGCUGAUCAGGUCGAGAGCCCCUGAAUCCGGUGUUGACCGUCGUGUUAUCCAGGCUCUCUUCCUUGCUUUGGAGUUUGUUUUUAUUACGCCGUGUCCUCCCGUUGCCAUCCCUUAUUUCGGAUGUGCUGGGGUCGCUGGUGCCUUUAUGGGCCAGCCAGCUAUCUUCACCCGCGCAAAAGCGGGUCAUAAAGCUUGUUAAGGCUGCCAUUGUCCUUGGCUUUUCUUGGCCGAGGUGUCGGGCGAGCCUUUCGUCAUGGAUGCUGUGUUUGAAUGCCGCUAAGGCUUCGACGUCCGGACAAUCGACAAUUUGAUUCUUCUUAGUGAGGAAUCUAUUCCAAAGCUUGCGGGCGGACUCUCCGGGCUGUUGGAUUAUGUGACUUAGAUCGUCUGCAUCCGGAGGUCGGAUAUAAGUCCCUUGAAAAUUGGCCCUGAAAGCGUCUUCGAGUUCCUCCCAACUCCCAAUUGAAUUUUCGGGGAGGCUUUUCAACCAGUGCCGAGCUGGUCCCUUCAACUUGAGGGGAAGGUAUUUGAUGGCGUGGAGGUCAUCCCCACGAGCCAUGUGAAUAUGCAGGAUAAAAUCCUCGAUCCAGACCCCUGGGUCUGUCGUGCCGUCGUAUGCCUCUAUGUUCACAGGUUUAAAGCCUUGUGGGAAUUCAUGGUCCAGUACUUCUUCGGUGAAGCACAGGGGGUUAGCAACCCCUCUGUGUCUGGGCGCGUCGUGGCAUGUAGUCGGUUGUUGUUGUGUCCCGAGUUUAUUUCGAACUGGUAUCUCGCUUGUUAUCUCCCCGACCGACUCUUGAGAAGACAUCUUGCUCUAAAUCUGCUGCAAAAACAGCUCAAAACAAAAACAGAAAAUUUUGUCGUGGUACGGUGGUCAAAACCUUUGGGAGAUUAUAUAAUGAAUUUUACCAACCAAAAGAAGUAUUGUGCAAGAAAACAAAGUCCGGAGGGCACACGAGGUGGCCACAAGGUAGGGGGCGUGCCCAGGGGGUAGGGCGCGCCCUCCACCCUUGUGGUCUCCUCGUGCCUCUUUCGGACUACUUUUAAUUUUUCCUAAUUAUUUAAAUAUUCCAAAAUGGAGAAAAAAUGCUAUUAGAACAGUUUUGGAGUCGAUUUACUUACCGUACCACAUACCUAUUCCUUUUCGGAUUCUGAAACAUUCUGGAAAGUGUCCCUUUGUACUCCUCCGGUGUUACAGUGUCAAUUAUAUUGGUCUCAACAUUUAUGGGAUUACCUGAGAUAUAAUGUUUGAUUCUUUAACCGUUGAUUUUUAUGGCACCGGAAUGAUAGACCUCCUCGAUAAUGUAAGGACCUUCCCAUUUAGAGAGAAGCUUUCCUGCAAAAAAUCUUAAACGAGAGUUGUAUAGCAAAACAUGAUCAACUCACGCUUUUCUAUCCUCUUGUCAUGCCAUCUUUUAAUCUUUUCUUUAAACAACUUGGCAUUCUCAUAGGCUUGGGUUCUCGAUUCAUCAAGCUAAUGUCAAAUAACUUCUUCUCACCGGCAAGUUUGAAAUCAUAGUUGAGCUCUUUAAUGGCCCAAUAUGCCUUAUGUUCUAGUUUGAGAGGUAAGUGACAAGUCUUUCCAUAAACCAUUUUAUACGGAGACAUACCCAUAGGAUUUUUAUAAGCAGUUCUAUAAGCGCAUAAUGCAUCAUCAAGUUUCUUGGACCAAUUCUUUCUAGAUCUAUUAACAGUCUUUUGCAAAAUCAACUUAAUCUAUCUAUUACUUGAUUCUACUUGACCACUAGACUGAGGAUGAUAUGGAGAUGCAGUUCUAUGGUUAACAUCAUACUUAGCAAGCAUUUUCCGAAAGCACCAUGAAUAAAAUGUGAACCACCAUCAGUCAUUAAAUAUCUAGGGACUCCAAACCUUAGAAAUAUAACUUCUUUAAGCAUCUUAAUAGAGGUGUUAUGAGUAGCACUACUAGUUGGAAAGAUUCUACCCACUUAGUAACAUAAUCUAUAGCAACUAGAAUAUGUGUAUACCCAUUAGAGGAAGGAAAAGGUCACAUAUAAUCCAGGCCCUAAACAUCAAAUGGUUCAAUAACAAGUGAAUAAUUCAUAGGCAUUUCCUGACGUCUACUAAUAUUACCAAUUCUUUGGCAUUCAUCACAAGACAAGACAAACUUACGAGCAUCCUUGAAGAGAGUGGGCCAAUAAAAACCGGAUUGCAAUACCUUAUGUGCAGUUCUAUCUCCAGCGCGGUGUCCUCCGUAAGCCUCGGAGUGACAUUCAUGUAGGAUAUGUUCUAGUUCAUGCUCGGGUACACAACUUCUAAUAACACCAUCUAAUCCUUCUUUAUACAGGUGUGGGUCAUCCCAAAAGUAAUGUCUUAAAUCAUAGAAAAACUUUUUCUUUUGCUGGUAUGUGAAACUAGGUGGUAUAAAUUUAGCAACAAUGUAAUUAGCAUAAUCAACAUACCAUGGAGUAUUACGAGAAGCAUUUAUGAAAGCUAAUUGUUCAUCAGGAAAGCUAUGCAACGGGGUUCUCAGCUCCCUUUCUAUCAAUAAUAUGCAAAUCAAAUUCUUGUAACAAGAGAACCCAUCUAAUAAGUCUAGGUUUAGCAUCUUUCUUUUCCAUAAGAUAUUUAAUAGAAGUAUGAUCAGUGUGAACAGUUACUUUGGAAUGAACAAUAUAAGAUCUAAACUUAUCACAAGCGAAAACAACCGCUAAAAAUUCCUUUUCAGUAGUAGCAUAAUUUCGCUGGGCAGUGUCUAGACACUAGUAGAAAAAGGGGCUUUUGUCCCGGUUGGUAAGGCCCUUUAGUCCCGGUUUUUGAACCGAGACUAAAGGGUCGUUACUAAUGCCUCUCCCCUUUAGUCCCGGUUCUUACACGAACCGGGACUAAAGGCCGCAGCCAUGUGGAGCUCCACCUUUAGUCCCGGUUGGUAACACCAACCGGGACUAAAGGAAAUUUUAUGAUUUUUUUUUGAAUUUUUUUAUUUUCAAAUUUCUGAAUUUUUUUAACCUCUAAUCUCUAAUCACCACCCCUCAUCACUGCUCAAUUUAUCCUCUAAUCUCUAAUCACCCCUCAUCAUUCCAAAUCAUCUAACUUCCCGAACGGUCACCCAUCCUCCCACUUCCCCAGCCUGAGCACGCUUAACUUCCGGGUUCUAUUCUCCCUCGUUUCCAAGUCUGCACUUGUUGUUUUCCUGACAAUAGUAAGAUGUCAAUCCUAUUAACCCUCGGAAAUUUUGCUUGAGCAUGAAGUGACACUUUUCACUGUUUGAGUUUGAAACUAUUGUUUUAAAAAACAAUAAUUAUUUAGUAACACUAAUAUUUCUUGAAUAAUUAAUUUGACCACAGUUUGACCAGAUUUGACCAAAAUUCAAAAUAACUAAAAUAAUUAUUUAGUAACACUAAUAUUCUAGAAUAAUUAGUUUGACCACUGUUUGACCACAGUUUGAAAUUUUUUCGAUUUUUUCCACUCUAGAUCUUAAAAGCCACGUAACUUUUUUUCUGUUAGGUUUAAAUUUGGAUGUAACUUUUCAAGUAGAUGAUUUUUCAUAUAAAAAACAUUUUCAUUCGAGUUAGUAUGCAAAAGUUAUGCCCAUUUUACUAAAUUCUAGAGAGAUUUUGCAAAUAAAGUCCAAAUUCACAUUUGCAAAUUUUCCCAACAACUAGACCACAUAUCACAUGGGAAACUUAUUUUCUUUUAUUUAUUUUGACAUUUUCAUCAUUUUCUUUUAUUUAUUUUUAAAACUGAAAAGGCGAUCCAAGGAGGGGGGGGUAGAGUUUGAAAAUGGGACCUUUAGUACCAGUUCGUGCCAUGAACCGGUACUAAUGCCUCAAACCCCAUUAGUACCGGUUGGUGGCUCGAACCGGGACUAAAGGUCUAACCUUUAGUACCGGUUGGUGCCACGAACCGGUACUAAUGGGCAUCGCACCCUUUAGUCCCGGUUCGUGGCACCAACCGGGACUAAAAGGUCCAGACGAACCGGGACAAAUGGCCCACGUGGCCCCUGGGCUCACGAACCGGGACUAAUGCCCCCAUUAGUCCCGGUUCUGGACUGAACCGAGACUAAUGGGCUAACCCGGCCUGGACCAAAGCCCUCUUUUCUACUAGUGAGAGUUUUACUAGCAUAAUGGAUAACAUUCAAUUUCUUAUCAACUCUUUUCUCUAGAACAACACCAACAACAUAAUAACUAGCAUCAUACACAAUUUCAAAGGGUAAAUUCCAAUCAGGUGGUUGAACAAUAGGUGCAGAAAUCAAGGCUUUCUUAAGUAUUUCAAAUGCUUCUACACAAUCAUCAUAAAAAACAAAAGGAACAUCUUUUUGCAAGAGAUUAGUGAGAGGCCUACAAAUUUUAGAUAAGCCUUUAAUAAACCUCCUAUAGAAACCAACAUGACCAAGGAAACUUCUUAUACCUUUGAUAUCUUUAGACACUGCAUCUUUUCAAUAGCAUCUACUUUAGCUUUAUCAAUUUCUAUUCCUUUUUUAUAAAUUUUGUGCCCCAAGACAAUACCUUCAUUAACCAUAAAGUGGCACUUCUCCCAAUUCAAGACAAGAUUAGUUUCUUCACAUCUCUGCAAAACUUGAUCAAGGUUUCUUAAGCAAUCAUCAAAAGAAGUUCCGUAAACGGAGAAAUCAUCCAUGAAAACCUCAACAAUAUAAUUACAAAAGUCAGAGAAUAUAGCAUUCAUACAUCUUUGAAAGGUAGCAGGUGCAUUGCAUAAACCAAAAGGCAUACCUCUAUAAUCAAAGGUACCAAAAGAGCAAGUAAAAGUGGUGUUUUCCUGAUCAUCUUUUGACACAGGUAUUUGAGAAAAAACAGAAUAACCAUCUAGAAAGAAAAGUGUGUAUGUUUGGAUAGUCUUUCUAGCAUUUGAUCAAUAAAAGGUAGAGGGUAAUGAUCUUUUCUAGUAGCUCUAAUUAAUUUGUGAAAAUUAAUUACCAUUCUAUAACCUGUAAUAAUUCUUUGUGGGAUCAAUUCAUUAUUAUCAUUAGGAACAACAGUAAUACCUCCCUUCUUAGGACACAAUGAAUGGGACUUACCCACUUACUAUCAGCAAUAGGAUAAAUUAUAACUGCCUCCAGAAGCUUUAGUAUUUCAUUUCUUACCACUUCUUUCAUCUUAGGAUUUAACCGUCAUUGAUGAUCAACAACUGGUUUAGCAUUAGGCUCCAAAUUAAUUUUUUUGCUCACAUAGAGUGGGACUAAUGCCCUUAAGAUCAUCAAGAGUAUAUCCAAUAGCGGCACGGUGCUUCUUCAGAGUUUUCAAUAAUUUCUUUUCCUCAUGCUCUGAAAGGUUAGCACUAUUAAUAACAGGAUAUAUCUUCUUUUCAUCAAGAUAAGCAUAUUUCAAUGUAUCAGGUAAUUAUUUAAGCUCAAACACGGGAUCACCCUUGGGUGGAGGAGGAUCCCCAAGGAUUUCAACAGGAAAAUUGUGUUUCAAAAUAGGUCAUUGAUUAAAGAAUAUUUCAUCUAUUUCCCUUCUUUCCUUCAUAAACAUGUCAUUUUCAUGUUCUAGCAAAUAUUGUUCUAAGGGAUCAGUAGGAGGCACGGCAAUAGAAGCAAGAGCAAUAAUUUCAUCCUUACUAGGCAAUUCUUUAUCACGGGGUUGUCUACGAAAUUUAGAGAAAUUAAAAUCAUGAGACAUAUCCCUUAAACCAACAGUAACAAUAUCUUUCUCACAGUUUAUCUUAGCAUUAACAGUGUUCAAGAAAGGUCUACCAAAUAUAAUAGGACAAAAAUCAUCUUGUGGGGAAGCAAGAACAAGAAAAUCAGUAGGGUAUUUUAUUUUUCCACACAAGACUUCAACAUCUCUAACGAUCCCAAUUGGCAAAAUAGUAUCUCUAUUGGCAAGCUUAAUAGUAACAUCAAUAUCUUCUAUCUCCGCAGGUGCAAUAUCAUUCACAAUUUCUUGGUAUAAGGUAUAAGGUGUUGCACUCACACUAGCACCCACAUCACAUAAGGCAUGAUAACAAUGAUCUCCUAUUUUAAUAGAAACAACAUGCAUGCCAACAACAGGUCUAUGUUUAUCUUUAGUAUCGGGUUUAGUGAUUGUAGCAGCUUCAUCACAAAAACAAAUAAUAUGACCACUAAUAUUAUGAACCAAGAGAUCUUUAACCAUAGCAAUACUAGAUUCAACUUUAAUUUGUUUAGGGGGUGUAGGUGUUCUAGUAUAACUCUUAUGAACCACAGUUGAAGCUUUAGCAUGAUCCUUUAUUCUAACAGGAAAAGGAGGUUUCUCAAUAUAAUCAGUAGGAACAAUAGGAUCAACAUUAUAGGCAAUAGUUUCUUCUUCAACUUUAAUGGGUUCUACUACUUUUACUUCAAUGGGAGGAUGAUAUUUAAACCACUUCUCCUUAGGGAGAUCAACAUGAGUAGCAAAUGAUUCACAAAAAAAGCUACUAUCUCAUAGUCAAGUCCAUAUUUAGUGCUAAAAUCACGAAAGGCAUCGAUAUCCAUAAAGGAUUUAAAACAAUCAAAAUUAAGCUUUAUACCUGACUUGUAACGACCCGAACCUGAUAAGAUUCAAUGUCUCUGUGCUCACUGUGCUAGUCCCUGCAUCAAUAGCUAGCACACACAGUACAAGAUGUAAUAUCAAGAAUAAACCACAUGUCAUAAUAUUACAUCGUAGAUCCAGAAUUUAAUAUAAUAUAUACCUGCAUAUCUCAAGGCUAGAUCAUAACAAACAUAUAGCAGAAAAGCAAAUAAAAUCUCCAUGAAGUCCAUCAACACCACAGGAAAAUGUCGAGUAUAGACAUCGUAACCCUACAUCGCAUCACUCAAUCGUCAUAUAAAAUCUGCAACAUGAAACGUUGUAGCCACAAAGGGUCAAUACUUUGAAUGUAUUGGCAAGGAAUGAUAUAACAACCCUAUAUCUACAUGCAUGGUAUAUCAAAAGAAUGGGUGGUGGUUUGUUUUGUAGAAAAGCUAAUUUUCCCUGAUAACUACAUAAUAUAAUAGUCAUAUUUUAAUUAUGUCUUGCUACAAUUAAAUAGAUAUGGUUGAAUUGGGCAAUCCAAUUCCAACCUAUACCCAUCAUUAAGUUUCCCAUCAAGUUUUAUUAAUUGUAUCAUCUGCCAAGAUCAUCCAACAACUGUAAUGGCAUGGUCGCUCAAAUUUGUCCAUGACCGGGGACACGGCUAAUCAUGAUCAGUUUUUACACUCUGCAGAGCUUUGCACACUUUACCCACUAGACCCAACCCGAAGAUUGAGACAAAGUCUUUCAGAAGUAGUCACCUCCACCCACCGGUAGCCGGUACACCUACUCAUAUCUACAUCUGCUAGCUUACCUGGGCAAGGAUCCCACGACCUACUCAACUAAGGCAGAGCCCAUUUAGCUAGUGGUUGCGCAUGGAAGCUACUAGUCACUAAGUCUGUCCGAUAUUCUUGAGCCUGGACGACACCCACUUACAUUUAGAGGGUAUAAACCAUGGUGUUCUUGAAACCACCCAACAAUAUUGUUCGGGCGCACUUAGCCAUGGUACUUGUCCUUAGAAAAGGAAACAAGAAACCAUGAUGCAACCCUGUCCGUCCAGAGGUGAAUUAUCUAUUAUGUUUUUACUCAAGUUAUGUUAUAUAUAGUCCUCACAUAAUCUCGAUGCAUACACGAACCAAUCCCCGUCUACACAGCAUAGCAAGAGUACAACUACCACGAUCUACAAUAAGGCCAUACUAAGCUGAAUCUCAAUAGCAAUAACAUGCUACCAUAAUUAUCCUACACAAUGAAAUAAUAGGAUGAAGGAUGGUCAAGGUGUAACUUGCCUGAUAUUUUUGAUAAAGAUCGUCGCACUCAAAUUCCUCAUAAUUCUACUCGUCACACUCCGAUUAAUCUAUUGCAAUAAAAAAACUCAAAUCAAUAACCAUGCCAUACAGAAGAGACAAAAGAACAAAAAAAAUAUGGCAAGGUUAAGCAAAAUCAAUAUAUAUAUAUAUAUAUAUAUAUAUAUAUAUAUAUAUAUAUAUAUAUGCUUAAUAUAUAAUAUAGGGUCUUUAGGUGCUAUAAGAUGAUGGAGGGAAGGAAAUCAACUCACAAGAGUUAAAUAGAAGAAUAGUUAUGCCAUAAACAAGAGUAUAGUGGAGAUGUAAUGGAAUAGGUUCAGAAGUGCUUGGAAAACAACAUAAAUGUAGUACAACAUAUUGAAUAUGACAUAAGAGUUCAUUUGUAAAAGAAUUGACUCGAAAAGGAACACUACAACACAAAUUAUAGUGAGAUGAUGUUUGAAUUGAAUUUUAAUUCAAAACAAGACAAAGAAUAUUUGAAUUUUGCAUAUAGUGGAUGUGAUCAACAAGUAUUUGGUAUAAGUGUUUCAUAGGCAAAAGGAAUCAAUUGGAAAGGUGUCACGGUUCACCCGAUAAGAUCAAAUGGAGUUUCGAAUUAAAAUUUGAAUUGCUCAAAUUUGAUAAGUUCAAAAGUUGAAAAAUAUGAUUCUACUCGAUAGUUAUGAUCAGCAAUAACACGUAGGAAAAAGAAUCGCUUAAAUUGGAUGUGUAGAUCAAAAAUUAUAGCUGAAACAAUGUUUGGACAGAUUUUGUUAUAAACUCUGUCGUGGCAGCGUUUUGGACAUGCGGUUGAUGUGUUGUGCGGGUGCCACGUGGCAGUCUGUGAUUCAUCAAAAGAUGUCCUGUGCAUGGCGUGCUCACCUGAAGCAGAGGGAACGGUGGCGGCUACCGGCGUUGGCGAUGGGGUGGCUCCGGCGGUUUUCCGGCGACUGAGAGGUGACGGCGAGCGUGGCGCGCCAAGGGGGUCACGAGCUUGGGGUCCCCGACGUCAACUGCUUCAUCGAGCGGUGGUGGUGAUGCUCACGAAGUCCGGCGGCGUUGUGGAGCUUCGGCUCGUGCUGCGUGCGCUCGAUGCGGUGCGCUGCGAGCGUUGAAACGGUAUCAGGAAGAUGUGGAUCGAUGUGGCCACAUAGUUCACAAAUAAAUAGGGCCGAGGAGGCUUACUGACGAUGACAUCGACCGGAAAAGCAUGGUCAGCCGGCGGAACUUGGGGAGGUUCAUAAGAACGAAAAUCAAAGGGGGUCUCGACUCUCGAGCGGAGAUCACGGGAAUCGGACGAGGGAAAGAAGUGGGAUCACACGAUGCACGAUGCCCACGGAUUGGAGCGACGGGUUCGGGGUCGCACGAAUCGCCAGGAGUCCGAUCUGGGCAUGGCGGCGCUAUCGUCCACGAACAGGAGACCGAGCAGAGGUAGGAGACACGUGCGGGGCCCUUGUGUCGGCGGCAGAGAAAAAAAAUGGGUGCCGGCGGUUGGGUGGGCUGCUGCUGCGCUUGUCGCGCGCGCGCGCGGCGGAGAAGAACUAGGCCGCCGGGGUAGCUGGGUAGGAUAGGUUUAGAUGUUCUAUUCUAUUUUAUUUACAGAAAUGAUUUUGGCUUGGAAAAUGUUCCAAAAAAAUUUCAAAAAAAAACCCAGAACAACUACAAAACAAAUAUAGUUAUAUGUAGCUUGGUGAACAUUGUCCCAUCAAAAAUACUUAUAUGAAAAACAUAUAUUAUUUUCGUACACUUUACUUUGGCACUUAUAAAAUGUCCCAUUAAAUAUUUUUGAACUCCGGAGAAAAAUUAAAAUAACAUUUAAAUCAUUUCCAACUCUUUUAUGUUGAAGGAUUCAUAUUUCCUUCUCUCAUAUGAUUUAAUAUUUGAGUUAGAAUUGCUUUAAAUAUUCAAAAUCCAAAAUGGGAGAAUAUUCAAUCAAUCACCAAUAUUAUUAUUUGAGGAAGUCGUGUCAUCCUCUCUCAUAUUUGAAUUGGAAAUAUUCUGAAUAUCCUCAAACCCAAAAUAAGAACCGACUGAAUAAUUGGGAAAGUCCUUUUAUUCCCUCUUGUUUAUUAUUCAUUUAAACUCCCAAAUGUUUCAAAUCCUAGCCAAAUUUAACUAACAACAAGCAACACAAGCAAAAUUUUAAAUUAAUCCAAUUUAAAUUAUUAACAUUUCAAAAUUUAGAAUUUUGGGAUGUUACAUGACUCCUUUCCUUCGUCGAGUUUCCAAUCUUCAGAGUUGCGUUUAAUUCUUUCCAACAAGUCUCAUCUGAAUUCAAUAGUCUUUUUCAUAAAAGAACCAGUACAAGAAGUAUCGAGCAUGGAUCGAUCAUUAUGGGAAAGCCGAGCAAAAAAUUCUGAAUAAUGAUUUCUCUUGGAAGCUCAUGAUUGGGGCAUGAAUAUAACAUUGACUUAAGGCUCCCCCAAGAUUGAGCGGUACUUUCUCCUUCGCGAGGCCAAAAAUUAUAUAUAUAAUUUCGAUCAUGAUGAACCAGAUGCAUAGGAUAAAACUUCUGAUGAAAUUCCAAUUUCAAUCGGUUGUAGUUUCAUGAUCCAAUAUCAUCACAUAGCCUAAACCAUGUCAAUGCCUUUCCCUUCAAAGAUAAAGGGAAGACCUUCUUCUUGACAAUAUCCUCGGGCAUACCUGCAAACUUAAAUAAUCCACAAACUUCAUCCACAUAGAUUAGGUGCAUAUCAGAAUGUAAUGUUCCAUCUCCUCCAUAAGGAUUAGCUAGCAGUUUCUCUAUCAUACCCGUAGGAAUUUCAUAAUAAAUAUUUUCAGUAGGUGCUUAGGUUGAGGAGAAACUCUUUUCUCUUCCGGUCGAGGUGAAGAUACCCCGAACAAGCCCCUCAAAGGAUUAUUUUCCAUAGUAACAAGUAAUAGUAAAUUUCAGCAUAUUAUAUAAAUAUUUCCUUACCAAAGGCGCUUCACUCCCCGACAACGGUGCCAAAAUAGAGUCUUGAUGACCCACAAGUAUAGAGGAUCAAUCGUAGUCCUUUGAAUAAGUAAGAGUGUCGAACCCAAUGAGGAGCAGAAGGAAAUGACAAGCAGUUUUCAGCAAGGUAUUCUCUGCAAGUAUUAAAAUUAUUGAUAACAGAUAGUUUUGUGAUAAGACAAUUCGUAAGGGGUAACAUGUAACAAAAACAAACAAGGUGCAUCAAGGUGGCCCAAUCCUUUUUGUAGCAAAGGACAAGCUUGGACGAACUCUUAUAUAAAGCAAAGCGUUCCCGAGGACACAUGAGAAUUAUUGUCAAGCUAGUUUUCAUCAUGCUCAUAUGAUUUGUGUUCGUUACUUUGAUAAUUUGAUAUGUGGGUGGACCAGUGCUUGGGUGCUGCCCUUCUUUGGACAAGCCUCCCACUUAUGAUUAACAACCCCCCCCCCCCCGCAAGCAUCCACAACUAUGAAAGAAGAAUUAAGAUAAAUCUAACCAUAGCAUGAAACAUAUGGAUCCAAAUCAACCCCUUACGAAGCAAUGCAUAAACUAGGGUUUAAGCUUCUGUCACUCUAGCAACCCAUCAUCUACUUAUUACUUCCCAAUGCCUUCCCCUAGGCCCAAAUCAUGGUGAAGUGUCAUGUAGUCUAUGUUCACAUAACACCACUAGAGGAAAGACAACAUACAUCUCAUCAAAAUAUCAAACGAAUACCAAAUUCACAUGAUUACUUAUAACAAGACUUAUCCCAUGUCCUCAGGAACAAACGUAACUACUCACAAAGCAUAUUCAUGUUCAUAAUCAGAGGAGUAUUAAUUAUCAUUAAGGAUCUGAAUAUAUGAUCUUCCACCGAAUAAACCAACUAGCAUCAACUACAAGGAGUAAUCAACACUACUAGCAACCUACAGGUACCAAUCUGUGGUUUUGAGACAAAGAUCGGAUACAAAAGAUGAACUAGGGUUUGAGAGGAGAUGGUGCUGGUGAAGAUGUUGCUAGAGAUUGACCCCCUCUCGAUGAGAGGAUCGAUGGUGAUUGAUACGUCUCCAACAUAUCUAUAAUUUUUUAUUGUUCCAUGCUAUUAUAUUACCCCUUUUGGAUGCUUAUGGGCUUUAUUAAACACUUUUAUAUUACUUUUGGGACUAACCUACUAAUCGGAGGCCCAACCCAUAUUGCUGUUUUAUUGCCUGUUUAAGUAUUUCGAAGAAAAGGAAUAUCAAACGGAGUCCAAACGGAAUGAAACCUUCGGGAGCGUGAUUUUUGGAAAGGAUAUGAUCCGGGAGACUUGGAGUUCAAGCCAGGGAAGGCUCGAGGAAGCCAUGAGAUAGGAGGGCGCACCCACCUCCCUAGGCGCGCCCCCUGUCUCCUGGGCCCCUCGAGACUCCCCCGACCGACUUCUUUCGCCUAUAUAAGUCCACGUACCAUAAAAACAUCGAAGGAGAAGAUAGAUCGGGAGUUCCACCGCCGUAAGCCUCUGUAGCCACCAAAAAGCUCUUGGGAGCCCGUUCCGGUGCCCUGCCGGAGGGGGAAUCCAUCACCGGUGGCCAUCUUCAUCAUCCCGGCGCUCUCCAUGACGAGGAGGGAGUAGUUCACCCUCGGGGCUGAGGGUAUGUACUAGUAGCUAUGUGUUUGAUCUCUCUCUCUCUCUCUCUCUCUCUCUCUCUCUCUCUCUCGUGUUCUCUCUAUGGCACGAUCUUGAUGUAUCGCGAGCUUUGCUAUUAUAGUUGGAUCUUAUGAUGUUUCUUCCCCUCUACUCUCUUGUGAUGAAUUGAGUUUUCCUCUUGAAGUUAUCUUAUCGGAUUGAGUCUUCAAGGAUUUGAGAACACUUGAUGUAUGUCUUGCCGUGCUUACCUGUGGUGACAAUGGGAUAUCACGUGAUCCACUUGAUGUAUGCUUUGGUGAUCAACUUGCGGGUUCCGCCCAUGAACCUAUGCAUAGGGCUUGGCACACGUUUUCGUCUUGACUCUCCGGUAGAAACUUUGGGGCACUCUUUGAAGUACUUUGUGUUGGUUGAAUAGAUGAAUCUAAGAUUGUGUGAUGCAUAUCGUAUAAUCAUGCCCACGGAUACUUGAGGUGACAAUGGAGUAUAUAGGUGACAUUAGGGUUUUGGUUGAUUUGUGUCUUAAGUUGUUAUUCUAGUAUGAACUCUAUGAUAGAUUCAACGGAAAGAAUAGCUUCGUGUUAUUUUACUACGGACUCUUGAAUAGAUCGAGCAGAAAGGAUAACUUUGAGGUGGUUUCGUACCCUACCAUAAUCUCUUUGUUUGUUCUCCGUUAUUAGUGGCUUUGGAGUGACUCUUUGUUGCAUGUUGAGGGAUAGUUAUAUGAUCCAAGUAUGUUAUUAUUGUUGAGAGAACUUUCACUAGUGAAAGUAUGAACCCUAUGCCUUGUUUCCUACCAUUGCAAUACCGUUUACGCUCACUUUUAUCAUUAAUUACCUUUCUGUUUUUAUAUUUUCAUAUUACAAAAACCUAUAUCUACUAUCCAUAUUGCACUUGUAUCACCAUCUCUUCGCCGAACUAGUGCACCUAUACAAUUUACCAUGUAUUGGGUGUGUUGGGGACACAAGAGACUCUUUGUUAUUUGGUUGUAGGGUUGCUUGAGAGAGACCAUCUUCAUCCUACGCCUCCUACAGAUUGAUAAACCUUAGGUCAUCCACGUGAGGGAAAUUUGCUACUGUCCUACAAAUCUCUGCACUUGGAGGCCCAACAACGUCUAUAAGAAGAAGGUUGUGUAGUAGACAUCAAGCUCUUUUCUAGCGCCGUUGCCGGUGAGGUGAGUGCUUGAAGGUAUAUCUUUAGAUCUUGCAAUCAAUUCUUUUUGUUUGUUGUUUUUUCACUAGUUUAGUUUAUAAAAGAAAACUACAAAAAAAUGGAAUUGAGUUUGUCUCAUACGCUUCGUCUUUUUAAUAUCUUUCGUGAGUUUGAUGAAAAGGAAAAUUGUGCUCAAGUGCUAGAAGAAGAAAUCUAUAGAAUGUUUGACACUAAAUCUUUGAAUGAUGAGCAUGAUUGCAAUGUUGUUAGUAUGAACUCCUUGAAUAUCCAUAGUACUAAUGAUGAUUGCACUAGUUAUGAUGAAAAUGUCUCUUAUAAGCAUGUCAAUUUUUGUGGAGAACAUUGGGUUUGCAUAGAUACACCAAAUAGAGAAGAUAAAUAUUGGAAGAGGCAUAAGCAUGUAGAAACUAAAUUGUUACAAGAAAGGCUAGAUAAGAGUGCUGAAAAAUUAUAUUUCUUUGGCGUACUUGUGAACUUUGCAAUGAAAGUGGUCAUUUAUAUCUCCGAUGCAAGUUGUUUCAUGAUCGAAUCAUGUCCAAAAAUUGUGAUGAUUUGAUUUCCCUUGCACAUUAUAAUGAACUUAGUUUGCUUGUGGGUUAUGAAGAAAUGAAUCGUUUAAUUAAGAACCUUCCAGAAUUUGCCCGUUAUAAAAUUCUUGAUUUUAAUCUAGAGACGAUUUAUAUGUUUUGUGCGGAGAAUUGCAUUGAAAAUCCUUAUAUUGCUAAUUACCUAAAGAAAAGAAAGCAAUUAGAAGAUGAAGAGAAUACUAAUGAAAGGGAAGAGACUUCCCAAUCUUCUCCUAUUAUUUCUUAUGAUGAAUCAGGUAACAAGGAGGAGCUUUCUAUUCAACCAAUCUCAUCAAUAAGGAGCUGAAAGAAGAAGGUUGAACCCACACAUAAUGCAAAGAAGAAAAAGAAAAGAAGGAGCAACAAAGGUAAAAAGGUAUCCCUCCCAAAUGAUGUUGCUCCUACUACUCAUUGUGAUGAUGAUAAUUGCUUUACUAUUGGUGCUAUCCAUAUUUUUAAUGAUGAGAGUGAUUAUGCUUAUGAUAUGAAAAGGCCCAAGCUUGGGGAAGCUAUGUUUGAUAAGGAUGAAAUAUUUGAGAAUAUAUUUGCUGAAUCUAAUGUUUGUCCCAAGCAUGGGGAUGCUAUGUUUAAUGAAGAUGAUAUUUUUAGCAUCCCAAGUUUUGAUAUGCAAAGUUGUUAUGAUGAUAGCAUGCCUCUUACCUAUGAUGGUUAUAUUGAUGAAAGUGGGUUUGGAAGAGUGUAAACUUUAGGAAGUAGUGAUCCCACUAUCUUGGAGGAUGUUGAAUUUUAUUGUGAUGAAUAUGAAAGUGGAUUUGGAAGAGUGUCAACUUUAUUUAGUGAUGAUUCCACUAUCUUCGAAGAGGUUUCAAUCGAUUAUGAUGAGAACGAAGUUGCUACUUAUGAUGAUUAUUGUGAUGAAACCUAUGCUAUAAAAAGUAGUGAUGAUUAUAUUUAUAAAACUUGUCAUGAUUAUGAUUACCAUUUUUCUGAACAUUACUCUUUUAAUGUGGAAACAAUUUUUAGUGUUCAAGUCUCUUAUGAUACUCCCAAUAUUCCGAAUGAGAAGAAUUUUGUUUAUGUGGAGAGUAGUAAAUUUUCUAUGCUUGUAGACCAUGAAAAGAACACUUUAGGUGUUGUUUAUAUUGUUGAAUUCAUUCAUGAUGCUACUGAAAAUUGUUAUGAGGGAGGACCAUAUGCUUCUAGGAAUUGUAAUAACUAGUAGAAUGCCCGUGCGUUGCCACGGGCUUUUGAAAUAGUUUGCAAGAGUUACAUGUUAACUUUUUAAGGUCUCGCCCCGCCAUAGAUCCAGACCCCCACCACUGAUUCCACCCCGCUUAGGCCGCCGCCUGCCACUGCGCUGCCCAUCGCGUUCGCCUCCGCCCCGACCCCGCCCGCCUCCUCUCAGGCCGCCUCCGCCUCCGGUCCAUCCUUUGCCCGGCCCCGCUCCGUCCGCCUCCCCUCUGGCCCUGCUCCGUCCGCCUCCUCUCCGGCCCUGCUCCGUCUGCCUCCUCUCCGGUUCGUCCGCCGCACUGCUCCGUCCGCUUCCGCCCCGUGCCACAUGCUGCCGCCCCUCUCCGUCCGCCUCCGCCCCGCGCCGCACGUUGCCGCCCCGCUCCCUGCUCGGCCGUCGCCCGCUACCCGAUGGCGCCGAAGAAGACGCCGAAGGGAAAGUCCGGUUUCUUCGGCAUGAGGGCGAAGCCCUCCGGGAACUUUGGACUGGAGUUCUCCGAUGCCGGGCAACGUUGGUGGCUCGGCACGUAUGCUACCGCCGAUGAGGCCUCUCGUGCCUACGACGUGGCGGUGUGGCGUGCCGGAUGGCCGAAGACGGAUCUAAACUUCCUGGAGGUCGAGUCCCAGGCGGUGGCGGAGUGGCUCGUGCUGCAGGGCAUCCGGAUGGAGGAGAUGCCGACUAAGAAGGCGAAGAAGAGACCCGCGGUUGUUGUCGCUCCCGGCGAGAGCGACGAGGCGGCGAUAGCUUGGUUUGCGUGAUUUGCGUUUUGCUGCAAAUCCAUCUCUAAUGAAAUGCUAUUUGCUACAUUUUUAAAUAGGAAAAUUAUUUCGAUGAGCCAGCCAUAACUCAAUAGACCAAUCUUUAAUGAAAUGCUAUUUGCUACAUUUUUUAAAUAGAAAAAUUAUUCCGAUCAGCCAGCCAUAACUCAACAGACCAAUCCGAACCCACAUUUUCUAAAGUAAAAAAAAUAUUUCCCUUGAUAGAUCAAGAUGCCAAAGUGUCGUUUGCCCGACUGCUAUGUUCCUAUACACGCAGAGCAAAUUAUUUUUCAAAUCAAGGAAUUAAGAAAAGGAAGAAUAACAUGAUGUUCGUAGCACUUGCCAGGUCUGCCAUGCUACCAUGGCAUUGUCUUUUUAGUCUCUACCCACAUGCCGAGUUGAGAAAUAAUCUUCAGAUAUACCCACAGCUAACACACUCACGUACAUAAUGGCCCUUGGCUGAUUGAUUUGGCUGGCUGUUAACACAAGCACACAACACACAAAAUCAGUCAAUGGCCACACAAGUAUGCAUUGUUUACUUUAUUCCAAUUGUGAUGCAAUCGUGACACUUACAAGCCCCGUCCGCUCGCCCGUCACGGUAAUUGCCUACUCGCCGCUGGUGCAAACCUCUCGACCUUGGCACUGCCGCUCUCCACUCAGUCUCCACCGGCUGCCCAUUGCCUCUUGCGCCACCCGCGCGCUCACUCAGCCCAAUGUUGUUGAUUGGAAUGCGGGACUGAAGGUAAUCCAUGGAUAGGUUUUAGUUCUGCUUGGCAUCAAUCUUUGGUACUUGUCAAUCCAUCUACCGCACAAAAAAAUCGACUCUCAGACAGAAAAGUGAUCUAACUCUAUUGAUGAGCACAACAGUACAUACCAUCCCAUCAUGAUGUUGCCAUCUCUCACACUUGAUGAUUCUUGUUAUUUAUAACAUGUACACCAUCGGGCGAUUGCUUUAUUAGAAAUAUAUUUACACAAUAUGAUCAGAGCAACAUCAAGGAGUCGGAUGCUGGUGCACAGAUUCUCCUCAAAUUCCACAUGCAACCCUUGUAGAGAAGAACAACAUAUUUUCCUUAGGUGAUUUUUGACCGAGAUCCUACAAAAAAAAUUCAAAGAAAUCACGAGGAGCAUGGAGCCAAGCAAACUAAUCAUAGUAAAUCAUGAGAGGAGAAGCCUCUCAACCUACUACAGGGAAUCGAGUCAACAUUAAUUCGUGUAAGAAUUAAACCGUAAUGUAGAUUAACAACCCAGUAGUUGAUAAAAUAACCCUGACACAACCCAUUAAUACAAUAUAUGGUCACAGGAAGUAGAUUGAGAUUGUGCAGAUAUCAUGAUCUACGAACCGUAUCUACGAAUAUUGAUUGCAAAGUCACAAACAGAACCUCCUCACAUCACAAAACAAAUGUUUCAUCAACAGAAACUCUAGCGAAUGCCAAUUGGAUUAUAUAAGUAAGACAGAGACAUCGAAAAAAAGAAAUAUAAUUCAAAGAGUAUAUAUUCUAUUUUCUUACUUGACAUCAUAGAGAAUGCAAGUCAAAGAUAUUGCGAUACAUCUUACCCUUCUAUAAAUUGACUGCAAGGCACAAUCCCCAGCAAAAUAUACAAAAUGAAUUGCUCCUAUGAUCCAAGUAUUGCAUAAAUAGUUAUAUACAAACUAUUCAACAGUGAGCAUAAACAUGGCAUGUACUACCAAAAUCCCUUGGAUAUGGAGCUUAGUCUGCAUGUCUAUUCGUUUUGUUUCCAUAGUACAAUGUCAAUACUUGUUUCCCUAGUACAAUGCCCGUGCGUUGUCACGGGCCUUUUAAUUUUUUUUUCUGAUUGCAAACAUAAGCAUAAUGCAUUUCCAAUUUCACAUCUAUAGAAAAAAAUUAUAGUAACAAUCAAAAAUGUAUUUGAUGCAAUGUAUUUUCAUUAUUCCACUCCACUUGCAUCUCCUAGUAGAACGCCCGUGCGUUGCAACGGGCUAUAUUGACGACUUCUUUUUUUACGUCAAAGCACUCUUCUUUUCUCCCAUUCUUCCUUCCCCCAAUUAAAAAUGUUUCUCAGAGUGAUAUGUGAAUGGAUAAAUUUACAAUGAUACUAAAAUAUGAAGGACUUAAACCAUAUUUAUGGAAGAACAUUUCUACAACACAUUCGACAUGAAACUUAUGGUGCUUGAUAGAUUGGAUAAAACAUGAUGCUGACUUAGCACCAAAUCUAAUUGAUAGUUCAGAACAUGGUUGCCAUACCAUUGUACCUGAAAGAUCUGUCUCCCCCUUCCUCGCUCCCUCUCUAGUAGCUGUCUCAUGAGCCGGUCGUCAUUGUUGCUGUUGAUGGCGAUGACAAUAAUGAGGAGGAACACCACAAGAGCUAGAUGUUCUUGACCUCUUCCCUAUGGUAACUGCCGCCUCUGCAUUGGGUGUCGUUCAUCAACACCACCGCUGCGCCAGCUGCUACUUGUAUAGAAAAUAAGAAGAUAGAAACUUUGUGUGUUGGGUCGCCAGCUGCUCAUUUGCUUGUAUGAUUGUGGAGACUGCGCUAAACAAGCAGGCUGGUAAUUGUACUCCAGCUUGAAUGGAGAUGCACCAAGUUCACUUGAUCCACCAAUCAACUUUGGACUGUGGAUCCCAAGUCCGAGAACAAAAACUCGCUGAAAGUCUGCAUGUGUAUCCAACAAUCAUGACAUGUACUCCAUAUGUAAAGAAAUAUAAGAGCGUUUAGAUCACUUCUUUAGUGAUCUAAACACUCUUAUAUUUCUUUGAGGAGGGAUUAUGGACCAAAAGAAGAAAAUAAACAUUGCAUGCUACAGAAAUGGAUAAUAAAAUCUAUCUGCAUGAGAUGCCACAUGAAUGUCACAAACAUAAGCAUAGUUUCGAUGCACACUAUCUCAUGUUGCAUGUUAAAUACAGGUUUGUGCACGUUGACUUUUGCUGGUAGAUGGAGAUACUAAGAUGAAAAAAUGGUCACACAAAAAUUGCUUUUCAAAUGUUAAUAUUACCAAGACUAAUCCAUGAAUAAAAUGUAUGCAACUAUGCACAGUAAAGAUACUUAAAAUAGUUACUGGACUAAACUCACUGAUAUAGAGCUAUCAAAACCGGAGCCAAGGCUCAAAUCUUAACAACGAUCAAAGUAGACUUCAGCCUUGUGGUUGCCGCAUAGGCUCACCACAGUGACAACGCCAACUCUCUUCCGUCUUCUCAGUUUCUUGACAAAAAAUGAUACUGCUAUUUGCACAUUAGGGAGUAAAUUAUGCUUCAAGCAUUUCUCAAACCAAAUCGGCAAUAUGUAGGCUUAAAAUAUCAGCAGGCAUCCACACAGAUUUCUACAGCUGAAAUAUAGUGUUGUGAUUUGUGUAUCCAUAAUGCAGAAUAACCUAUUGUUCUAUUUGGUGGUUAAAUAAAUAAACAUUAUUGUUUUUGGCUAGUGCCUGUAGAGCUACUAAAUGAUAGUCAGCGUCACUGUAUAUUUCUAAGAAAGAAAAUUAUAAGACUUCAUUGGUUGUAAAUAACGCUAAUUGUAUUGGUUGCCACCAAUGUCGACUUGAAAAGAAAAUUAUGGAGCUUCAGUUCAUAUGCAUCUAGUCAUAUAAAAAAAUAAGAACACAUGCUUCAACUCCUGUUAGUUCGGUCACAAAAAAAUCAUCACCAAAAAUCAGAAGACAAAGUAUCAUUGUUAUAUUUGUUGACUUGAUUGAUUACUGUAGGUUAACACACCCAACUGGAAUUAACCUGCAAUAGGAUAAAAGAAAUUAAGAUUUGAGACGUGUGUUAUAGGGUUCAUAGAAGAGAGAAGAGGGAGGUACCAUAUCAAAUCAUUGGUCGCACAGUUUGACAUUCAACUUUCCAUUUUCUAAUGAGUCCUCAGGGAUUCAUAUACAUAAACGUUGAUUGAUAUAUCAGGUCCAACUCCCUGUAACACUAAAAGUUACUGGGAAGUCAACUAAAAAACAAUUCUCAGCAGAAACAUACGGCUUACCAAUAAGGUGGACCAAAGGCCUUUACAAUCCUCUACCAUUCUCUUCUCUACAAAUUGUAGACAACGUGUGAAAGAUGCCCUUGUAAUACCUAGUGGUUUUCUGCAGAAUUUUAUAGACAUGAAAGUUUAGCUUACUAAAACAUGUUCCUUUGGUCUGUAAAGCUGCAUUGCAUGAAAGCAUUAGGUAAAGAUGCUCUAAGUUCUAACUGGAAGUUAUAUUGAUUGAUUGGUUGGCUUAGUGUUAUUCACAAAUCACGAAAGGAAGAAAAGCAUCACCUGUGUUGUCAGGUGAUUUCAAAGAACAUCCAAUGGGUAAGUUACAGAUGCAGGUGUCACUCACGCUAGACACCCACCAAGUAAACAUAUAGACACUAACAUAAUUUGGGCCGUCCAUUCCGUGAAGCUGCAACUAUAUUUCGAAAUUUAUAAACCUAUAACAAAAAAACAUAGUCGUGAGAAAUCUUGCAAGUUAACAUACUAAAAUUCAGUGCUGAACUUUUUGUAUCGCUCAUAUCAAUAGAAGCUGAUGACGGAAUAAGAAAAUCGAUGUAUAAUUUUCACAAGAUUGCCUUUCGAAUAUGCCCAAAACACUUCUUGUCGAACAACCCACGAAGCCAUGUGCCAUAUACUACCCUUCCUUAGACCUGCAACAUCUGAAUGCAUACCCGCCACCUGUCGGAUCAGUAUGCCACAAGCUCAUACAACAAACUUUAUCAUCAGCAUAUGGGUUAUGUGACAAAAAAAUUACUGUAUUCAAGAACAUUUUCGCGAGAUUGCAAUUUUGUAGCUAUGAACAGCAUAUGGUACAUACAAUGAAUCCACAACCAAGUUGAAGUUUGGACCAUGAUUGGACAAUACAGCGCAGAGUGUUGUAAAUUAACAACAAUAAUAAUAGGCCAUGACUGUCAACCAGAGAUAUUAUCAGCAAUCAAUUCAAAGCGAGGGAAGAAUAUAUAUCACAUUCAGGGAACUUAGUUGAUAUUAUCAGCAUCCAAUUCCUUUGAAGAAUCUAUAUAUGUGCAGUGUGAAAGCAGAAGGAGCACAACAGCACCAUGAAAUAGAAGACAAAUAUUCCUUCACGCUCACAAUCCAUGCACACGAGAACGCCGGAGAUAAAAGAGGGGGCGGAAAGCCUAUUACCUGCAAGAGGAUGGAGAGUGGCGAGGAUCGAGAUGCAGAUCUUGCUGACCAUGCCGGUGAGGUGUGCGACGGUGAUCCAGCCAAGAGCCGCUGCGCUUGGCAGGGGAAGGCCCCGACGACGCAAUGGAAGAGGAGACGGUGGCCAACGCCAGUCGACGGCAACGGGGACCUGGCGGAUAUCACCUCCAUCAUCCCAGACACGCCUUCAUGGUGGGCAUCCUCACGGCCCCUUGAAACCGCAGCAGCUUCUCCUUGCAUCCCCGUCGCCAGAUCAUAGCAAACUGCACACACGCCCGAAUCAGAUCAAGAUGCGGAAAUAACCAAACCAGAAGAAGUGGAGGAGGGAUUCGUACCUAGUCGAGGCCAUGGACCAGAGGGUGAUCUGCGGCGCCAACGCCAGAUCGGUCAUCGUGGCCGCGGGCGAGGGACGCGGCGGCGACCUUGUUCCUCGGCGGCGGCGGCGGAUCCUAUCGGGGCUGGGGUGUCUCCUCUCGGCGGCGGUGGCGGCUCCUCUCGGGGCUGCCUGGGUCGCUCGCCAUGAAGAAGAAGAUAGGGUGGAGGAAUUGAGCGAGGGAGGAGGAAUCGAGCGGCUUGUACGGCAGGGGGCCAAACCAUGAUAAAAAUCAGUACAACCCGCGAGGUGGAGAACGAAAUGACUUACCUAUAGCUCAUGAUUCGAUUGAGAUGAUAGGGAAGGAAGGAAAAUUGUGAUUUAGUCAGACAAAGUUUUGGAAAGUUCUGAUUCAGCUGAGAAAUAGAUGGAAAUAAUGCCUCGGGAUGAGGAGGUCACGAUUAGGGUAUGGCAAGAAGAACUUUUUUGGAAAGCUUUGAUUCUGGUGAUAAUUACCAUAUUCGAAAUUUCCUUAGUUAUAGUCUUACCAUACAUGGAUUGAUUUAUUACUAUAAUUAUCAUAUUUGAGAUUUCUAAGUUUAUAGCCUUACCAUACAUGGACUAAUUAUGAUUGAUUACCAUAAAUACGUUGGGUAUUGCCGGUCAGACAAGAAAAGAGAAAAACCGGUGGGAGGGGCUGGUGGGAGGUGGGACGAAGAAAAACCGGUUGAAAAUAAACCGGUUGAAAGUGGGGGGGGACUAUUCAACCAAUUCGUCCAUUAGGAGUAGAGAUAUCAAGUUUCCUCUCUAUGUGUUGAAGAUCUUGAAGCUAUGCUUGUUUUACCUUCCUAUGCUAGUUGAUUAUUGUUCUCAUAAGUUGUUUGCUCACAAAAUCCCUAUGCAUAGGAAGAGGGUUAGGCUUAAAUGUGUUAGUCAUAUGCUUCAUGAUGCUCCCGUUAUGUUUCAAUUCUUAUCCUUUCUGUGAGCAUCAUUGUCAUCAUCAUGCCUAGCUAGAAAGGCAUUAAAGAAAAUCGCUUGUUGGGAGACAACCCAAUAUUUAUCAUUACUGUUUUCGUGUGUUCACAUGAUUAUUCUACUGUAGUAGUCAUGUUUUAUAGCUUUUGUUUCAAUAAAGUGCUAAGUAAGACCUUUAGGAUAGCUUACGGUGAUACUUGUGUUGAUCCUGCUGAGAAUCAGAAACUUUUGCACCCAGUAAAUUAGUUUUCUUAAUUCACAGAAAUGUGCUUCUGAUCUUAUUCGUUUUUCUAUGGAUUGGUACACAAAUAUAUUAGGUCUUCCUAAUUUUGUAGGUUAUUUGGAGUUCCAGAAGUAUACGUUUGAUACAGAUUACUACAGACAGUUCUGUUCUUGACAGCUUCUGUUUUCUAUGUGUUGUUUGCUUAUUUUGAUGCAUCUAUGGCUAGUAUUAAGUGGUAUGAACCAUAGAGAACUUGGAAUACAGUAGGUUUAACACCAAAAUAAAUAAAGAAUGAAUUCAUUACAGUACCUUAUGUGGUGGUUUUGUUUUCUUUCACUAACGGAGCUUAUAAGAUUUCCUGUUGAGUUUUGUGUUGUGAAGUUUUCAAGUUUUGGGUAAAGCUUUGAUGGACUAUGGAAUAAGGAGUGGAAAGAGACUAAGCUUGGGGAUGCCCAUGGCACCCCAAGAUACUCAAGGAUAGCCAAAAUCCUAAGCUUGGGGAUGCCCCGGGAAGGCAUCCCCUCUUUCGUCUUCGUUCAUUGGUAACUUUACUUGGAGCUAUAUUUUUAUUCGCCACAUGAUAUGUGUUUUGCUUGGAGCGUCAUGUAUUAUAUUAGUCUUUGCUUUUUAGUUUUACCACAAUCAUCCUUGCUGUACACACCUUUUGGGAGAAGCCCACUUGAUUGAAUUUGCUAAAAUAUGCUAUGUGCUUCACUUAUAUCUUUUGAGCUUGAUAGUUUUUGCUCUAGUGCUUCACUUAUAUCUUUUAGAGCACGGCAGUGGCUUAAUUUUGUAGAAAUUGCUAGUCUCUCAUGCUUCACUUACAUUAUUUUGAGAGUCUUUUAGAACAGCAUGGUAUUUGCUAUGGUUAUAAAAUUGGUCCUAGAAUGGUAGGCAUCCAAGUUGGGUAUAAUAAAAACUAUCAUAGGAAGUGAAUUGGAUGCUAUGAUCAAUUUGAUACUUGAUAAUUGUUUUGAUAUAUGGAGGUAGUGAUAUUAAAGUCAUGCUAGUUGGGUGAUUAUGAAUUUAAAGAAUUCUUGUGUUGAAGUUAGCAAGUCCCGUAGCAUGCACGUAUGGUUAAAGUUGUGUAACAAAUUUGAAACAUGAAGUGUACCUGGCUUGUGCGUCCUUAUGAGUGGCGGUCGGGGACGAGCGAUGGUCUUUUCCUACCAAUCUAUCCCUCUAGGAGCAUGCGCAUAGUGCUUGAUUUUUGAUGGCUUCUAAAUUUUUGCAAUAAGUAUAUGAGUUCUUUUGACUAAUGUUGAGUCCAUGGAUUAUACACACUUUUACCUUUCCACCAUUGCUAGCCUCUUCGUACCGUGCAUUGCCCUUUCUCACCUCGAGAGUUGGUGGAAACUUCGCCGGUGCAUCCAAACCCCGUGAUAAGAUACGCUCUAUCACACAUAAACCUCCUUAUAUCUUCCUCAAAACAGCCACCAUACCUACCUAUUAUGAAAUUUCCAUAGCCAUUCCGAGAUAUAUUGCCAUGCAACUUUCCACCAUUCCGUUCAUCAUCAUCAUGACAUACAUUACUUUUGUCAUAUUGCCAUUGCAUGAUCAUGUAGUUGACAUCAUAUUUGUGGCAAAGCCACCAUGCAUAAUUUUUCAUACAUGUCACUCUUGAUUCAUUGCACCAUCCCGGUACACCGCCGGAGGCAUUCAUAUAGAGUCAUAUCUUGUUCUAGUUUCAAGUUGUAAUUCAUAUGUUGUAAUCAAUGAAAGUGUGAUGAUCAUCAUUAUUAGAGCAUUGCCCAAGAAGAAAAAAAGAAAGGCCAAAAUAAAAAAAGAAAAAAAGGAAAAAAGAAAAAGAAAAAAUAAAAUAAAUAAAAGGGCAAUGUUACUAUCUCUUUUUCCACAGUUGUGCUUCAAAGUAGCACCUUGUUCUUCAUGUAGUGAGUCUCAUAUAUUGUGCUUCAAAGUAGCACCAUGUUUUUCAUAGAGAGUCUCAUAUGUUAUCACUUUCAUAUACUAGUGGGAAUUUUUCAUUAUAGAACUUGGAUUAUAUAUUCCUACGAUGGGCUUCCUCAAAUGCCAUAGGUCUUUGUGAGUAAGCAAGUUGGAUGCACACCCACUAGUUUUCUUUUGUUGAGCAUUCAUUUAUAGCUCUAGUGCAUACGUUGCAUGGCAAUCCCUACUCCUCAUGUUGACAUCAAUUGAUGGGCAUCUCCAUAUCCCGUUGAUUAUCCUCGUCAAUGUGAGAGUUUCUCCUUUUUUGUCUUCUCCACACAAUCCCCAUCAUCAUAUUCUAUUUUACCCAUAGUGCUAUAUCCAUGGCUCAUGCUCAUGUAUUGCGUGAAGGUUGAAAAAGUUUGAGAUUAUUUAAGUACGAAACAAUUGCUUGGCUUGUCAUCGGUCAUGUAGAAUUUGGGAACAUUUUUCUAUGACGAAAAUGAAGCAUAGCCUAACUAUAUGAUUUUGUAGGGAUGAACUUUCUUUAGCCAUGUUAUUUUGAGAAGACAUGAUUGCUUUGAUUAGUAUGCUUGAAGUAUUACUAUUUCUUUUGUCAAUAUGAACUCUCAUUUUGAAUCAUUUGGAUCUGAACAUUCAUGCCACAGUAAAGAAAAUUACAUUGAGAAUUAUGCUAGGUAGCAUUCCACAUCAAAAAUUCAGUUUUUAACAUUUACCUACUCGAGGACGAGCAGGAAUUAAGCUUGGGGAUGCUUGAUACGUCUCAAACGUAUCUAUAAUUUUUUAUUGUUCCAUGCUAUUAUAUUACCCCUUUUGGAUGUUUAUGGGCUUUAUUAUACACUUUUAUAUUACUUUUGGGACUAACCUACUAACUGGAGGCCUAGCCCAUAUUGCUGUUUAUUGCCUGUUUCAGUAUUUCGAAGAAAAGGAAUAUCAAAUGGAGUCCAAACGGAAUGAAACCUUCGGGAGCAUGAUUUUUGGAAAGCAUAUGAUCCGGGAGACUUGGAGUUCAAGCCAGGGAAGGCUCGAGGAAGCCAGGAGAUAGGAGGGCGCGCCCACCCCCCUAGGCACGCCCCCUAUCUCCUGGCCCCCUCGAGGCUCCCCGACCGACUUCUUUCGCCUAUAUAAGUCCACGUACCCUAAAAACAUCGAAGGAGAAGAUAGAUCGGGAGUUCCGCUGUGGCAAGCCUCUGUAGCCACCAAAAACCUCUCGGGAGCCCGUUCCGGCGCCCUGCCAGAGAGGGAAUCCAUCACCGGUGGCCAUCUUCAUCAUCCCGGCGCUCUUCAUGACGAGGAGGGAGUAGUUCACCCUCGGGGCUGGGGUAUGUACCAGUAGCUAUGUGUUUGAUCUCUCUCUCUCUCUCUCUCUCUCUCUCUCGUGUUCUCCCUAUGGCACGAUCUUGAUGUAUCGCGAGCUUUGCUAUUAUAGUUGGAUCUUAUGAUGUUUCUUCCCCUCUACUCUCUUGUGAUGAAUUGAGUUUUCCUCUUGAUGUUAUCUUAUCGGAUUGAGUCUUUAAGGAUUUGAGAACACUUGAUGUAUGUCUUGCCGUGCUUAUUUGUGGUGACAAUGGGAUAUCAUGUGAUCCACUUGAUGUAUGUUUUGGUGAUCAACUUGCGGGUUCCGCCCAUGAACCUAUGCAUAGGGGUUGGCACACGUUUUCGUCUUGACUCUCCGGUAGAAACUUUGGGGCACUCUUUGAAGUACUUUGUGUUGGUUGAAUAGAUGAAUCUAAGAUUGUGUGAUGCAUAUCAUAUAAUCAUGCCCACGGAUACUUGAGGUGACAAUGGAGUAUCUAGGUGACAUUAGGGUUUUGGUUGAUUUGUGUCUUAAGGUGUUAUUCUAGUAUGAACUCUAUGAUAGAUUCAACGGAAAGAAUAACUUCGUGUUAUUUUACUACGGACUCUUGAAUAGAUCGAGCAGAAAGGAUAACUUUGAGGUGGUUUCGUACCCUACCAUAAUCUCUUUGUUUGUUCUCCGUUAUUAGUGGCUUUGGAGUGACUCUUUGUUGCAUGUUGAGGGAUAGUUAUAUGAUCCAAGUAUGUUAUUAUUGUUGAGAGAACUUGCACUAGUGAAAGUAUGAACCCUAUGCCUUGUUUCCUACCAUUGCAAUACCGUUUACGCUCACUUUUAUCAUUAGUUACCUUGCUGUUUUUAUAUUUUCAUAUUACAAAAACCUAUAUCUACUAUCCAUAUUGCACUUGUAUCACCAUCUCUUCGCCGAACUAGUGCACCUAUACAAUUUACCAUUGUAUUGGGUGUGUUGGGGACACAAGAGACUCUUUGUUAUUUGGUUGCAGGGUUGCUUGAGAGAGGCCAUAUUCAUCCUAUCCCUCCUACAGAUUGAUAAACCUUAGGUCAUCCACUUGAGGGAAAUUUGCUACUGUCCUACAAACCUCUGCACUUGGAGGCCCAACAACGUCUACAAGAAGAAGGUUGUGUAGUAGACAUCAGUGAUGAUGAUGGCGAUGAUUUCCCCCUCCUGAAGGGAUGUUUCCCCGGCAGAACAGCUCCGCCGGAGCCCAAGAUUGGUUCUGCCCAGGUUCUGCCUCGAGACGGCGGCGCUUCGUCCUCAAAGCUUCCUUCUUAUUUUUUCUAGGUCAAAGCACACCAUAUAGUAGAAGAUGGGCAUAGGGGGCCUGCCAAGGGGCCUACAAGGACAGAGGGCGCGCCCAGGGGUAGGGCGUGCCCUCCAUCCUUGUGGAUAGCAGGUUGCCCCCCUCUGGUGAUUUUUCUUCACCCAAUAUUUUUUAUAUUUUUCAAUAAUAUUCUCCGUGAAGUUUCAGGACUUUUAGAUUUGUGCAGAAUAGGUCUCUAAUAUUUGCUCCUUUUUCCAAUCCAGAAUUCCAACUGCCGGCAUUCUCCCUCUUCAUGUAAACCUUAUAAAAUAAGAGAGAAAAGGCAUAAGUAUUGUGAUAUAAUGUGUAAUAACAGCCCAUAAUGCAAUAAAUAUCAAUAUAAAAGCAUGAUGCAAAAUGGACGUAUCACGCCAUAAUAGUAGCGCGGUCACCCGCGCGACUGCUAGACAAAAAACCAGCGGUACUGCUAGGCUUUUCCCUAGUAGUGAUACAUAACUCAUAUAAUACUAUAUCAUCAACGAACGUUAAGCGUGUGAACCCUACGGGUUUGAGAAUGAUGUAGACAUGAUCGAGCCACUUCUCCGGUCAAUAACCAAUAGCAGACCUAGAUGCCCAUAUUGGUUCCUACAUAUUCUAUGAAGAUCUUUAUUGGUCGAACCUUUAUGACAACAUACGUAAUUCCCUUUGUCUGUUGGCAUGUUACCUGCCUGAGAUUCGAUCAUCGUUAUCUACAUACCUAGUUCAAUCUCAUUACCGACAAGUCUCUUUACUCAUUCCGUAAUACAUCAUGUUAAACCUAAAUUAUUAGUUACUUUGCUUGCAAGGCUUCUUAUGAUGUGUAUUACCAAGAAGGCCCAGGAUACCUCUCUGAUACUCGGAGUGACAAAUCCUAAUCUCGAUCUAUGCCAACUCAACAAACACCUCCGGAGAUACCUGUAGAGCAUCUUUAUGAUCACCCAGUUAUGUUGUGACGAUUGGUAUCACACAAGGUAUUCCUCUGGUAUUCGGGAGUUGCAUAAUCUCAUAGUCAAAGGAAUAUGUAUUUGACAUUAAGAAAGCAAUAGCAAUAAACUAAUGGAUGGGACUUGUCCAUCACAUCAUUCUCCUAAUGAUGUGAUCCUGUUAUCAAAUGACAACUCAUGUCUAUGGUUAGGAAACCUUAACCAUAUUUGAUCAACGAGCUAGUCUAGUAGAGGCUCACUAGGACACGGUAUUUUUUAUGUAUCCACACAUGUAUUUAAGUUUGUAGUUAAUACAAUUCUAGCAUGAAUAAUAAACCUUUAUCAUGAUUAAGGAAAUAUAAUAAUAACCAUUUUAUUAUUGCCUCUAGGGCAUAUUUCCAUCAAGGAAGUGAAGGUUGAAAAGAACAAGAUGAAACCUAGCAAUGAUUUAGAUGGAGCUUUGUGACGAGACAACCGAGAAAACUUGGAACUCCAAAAAAGAAAAGAUGAAGAGAAAAUGAUAUCAUGGGCGAACUCCGGAAGAAUGAAUUAAUCACCUCGGGGAAAUACAAAUAAGAUUUAUUGUAUGCUUACCCUUGAUCAACUUAAAUUGAGGACAAACAAUGGAUUUGGAAAACUACUUAUUCUUCUUUGAAAGGAUUGAGAGAGAUAUAGCACAACUUGGGAAGGUCUUCAAUGAACCACCGGUGGGAUUUUGCAAAGAGCAAAUUAAUUGAUACGAGAACAUAGAAAGAGGAAUCUUGAACGAACCACCAUAAGCAUCUGAAACGAAUGAAGGAAAGAGAACGAAUCACUGGGAAGAAUUAUAAAAUGAUGAAGGUACUUGAGGGAAUUUACAUAUAAGAUAACGAAGAGAUCACGAGUUGAGUAGAGAAUACUUGAAUGAUGUGGUGGAAGAAUUGGAGAACAAGAGCUGAAAGCUGAGAGUGAAUAAUUAUUCCAGAAUGAUGGCCUCCAGAGAAUCAAAACAGAACAACUCACGAAAAGGAUUUGGGACAGUCAUAAGAUGAAUUUCUCACGACCCGAAAUAAUUCUGAGGAUGGCAUGAAACUGACACCAUGAAUCUUCAAAAGAACGAAGCAAGAUUUAAGAGAAACUCUUCUUCGGUCUUCAAAGCUGAGAAUGACAAUGAGAAACACCACCAAACUUGUUGAGACACUUCAGAAGAAUGAAAGAGGAAGGGCUGAGGUAAAGAUGAAAACAAUUUGAAAGCGAUCUUGGAGAAGGCAUCUGACUAAUGAAAAAAUCAUUCUUAUGUCAAACUUUGAAAUGAAUUUGAGAAUAACUGAAGAAAAAUUAGAAGAGUCAGGUAAGAUCCUGGGAAAAGACUUGUGGCAUAUGGGCCCACUCAAAAGAAAACACCAUUGAGAAUGAUUGAUAGAAGAGAGAAUGUGCCGGCAAAGGAAAACAUUUAAAGCAAGGAAAAGAAUCUGAUGAACACCGAAAACUUGAAUUGAAUCCACCGGGGAAGAAAGAUACGAAGAAUGAUGAACUAGUCGUGAUUUCACCGGACAAACUUGAAACAAGAGAACGAAGAGACUUCGCAUGACUGGAAUAGAUACUUAACUAAGGAUUCUGGCUCCGUGUAGAAAAGGGUUGGCGGGUGGAAAAAAAACAUGGGACGGGGAAAUGACCCCAUUCGGAAAACUGGGAAUUGGUCUUACAAAACAUGAAGAGGAUCGAAUUAACUUGAAGAGAAAUGCACCGGCUGGAAAAGGAUUGACACCACAAUGAUCAAAAAAUACCCGUGUGAUCUUAAAGAAAAAUUUGAAGGGGAAGAGUAUUAUAAUCAAAACACCUACGUCAUGAUUCCUCACCAGAGUGAUGAAGGGGAUAAGGAGUAAAAAGAAUUCAUACUCUCCGAUAUAACUAGACUUGAAAAAUAGUUUUCCUUCUAGACUCGACAACGGCCAUGCUAAGAUCAAUCAAGGGGGAUCCUAUGAUCGGUCGAGGCUCCGAUACCAACUUGUAACACCCAAUAUGUGAUCCUAUCCUCGAGGAACUCAAAGGUCCCACCAAGGAUAGAGGCGCAUAUUGAAACGCUUUGCAAGAUGGAUAUCAUUACAUUGUACCAUGUAAAUAAUAGAGGGGAUACACACAAAGGCAUACAAUUGCCAACUGAAUACAUUAGACAUCAUACAGAAGAGCAGCAUCCGACUAUGGAUGAAAAAGAAAACACAAACGACAUCCACCCUGAUAGCCUAGGCUGCCGACUAGGAACCUAUCCCUCGAUCAAAGAAGAAGAAGCAGAAGAAGAACUCCAAAACAAGCAACCAUCACUCUCACAUCAAAUCAUCGCCUUACCUGUACCUGCACCCAUUGUUGUAGUAAUUUGUGAGCCACGAGGACUCAGUAAUCCCAUUACCAUGGGUACCAAGACUAGCAAAGCUUAAUAGGCAUGGAAUGGUUAAGUGGUGAGGUUGCGUGCGUCAUGCGCAAGGGUCCGAACAGAGGAGCUAAAGGCACAAGCUUCAGCUACCAUGACAGGUCAUGGUGGCCGGAGCUCAUGUUAGCGAGGGGCGGCGUCUACAAUGCACGAGUGGAGCAAAAAACAUGAUGAGGAGCGGAGCGUCACCGUGGGGUGCUGCUGGAGUCGUACGAGCUCGAAGGUGACCGGAGACAGAGGGAGGACGCGCUGACGGAGACGUAGAUGAAGAAGUAGAUGAAGCUAAUGUGCUGAAAGGACAUGCGGUGCCCCCAUGUGUGGUUUUGGUAAUUGAUGACACUCUCUAUGGACUAAUGGUUGCAUUGAGUUAUAUUUGAAGGAUUUGUCCAUAGGCUCUUCUUGAAGUCCAUGUGUUGGUUUCAAGGAGUUUAUGUGUUGACCAAGGUGCUAUUAAGAAAUUAUCCAAAGAUUGGUUAGGUGAGUGUUGUGCGUAUUGCAAGCAUGUCUUGAAGAACAAGAUUGUGUGAUCAUUCAUGUUUAACUUCAAGACAUCAUCCAAAUGAAGGGAGUUGGAAAGAUUCAAGGUUGAUCAAGACUAAGUCAAGAGUGAAUCAAGUUGAUCAACUCACAAAGCAUAGAAUAUGUACCGAGAGGGAUCAAGUGAUCCCAUGGUAUGGUAAGCAUUGUCCUUUGUGCUUUGUGUACUAACCCAUGGCCUAUGUGAGAGUUCUAUGUGGGGUUAGGUACGUGUUCAUGGGCUUGCGUCGAGAGGAAGAUAUCACUCAACCCAUAGAGAGGAUGACAUCAAGUGGUGAUCGUCAUCAAUAUUGCAAUGUGCAAGUUCAAGUUGAGCAUGACAAAGAGAUCAAGUGCUUGAAGCUUGUUGUCCAUUGUGGUGUCAAUGGACUUGUGAAGAUGUGCCGAAGAGUGGCUCACCCAUAGUGGACUAUGGGGGAGCAAUCAUCUAGUCUUCAUCGAGCCAACGCAAUCAAGAAAGGUGGUCCAACUUGAGGGAGUCAAGAUCGUCAUCAUCUAGCUCAAGUGGACCAUGUUCAAGGCAAAGGUUUUCCUUGAUAGGUUUUCUAUUUUACCGGUCUCAUGGUGGUAGUUGGGAGACCGGGUUAUAGGAUCGUUUAUCGUACUAUCAAGGGGGGGCUCUCAAGUUGGUAGCUUGACCGUAUCGUUAGUAGAGAGGUCAAACCAUUGCAUCCUUGCAUCAUGUUUCUUGGUUCUUAUUUGGUUCUAUUUGUGAGUCUUAGAGCUUAUGGUCAUCUUGAUGACAAGCUUGAGUUCAUCAAAAACGGAGUUCGCAUGCGUCUUCUAUGAUGUUUUCGAUGUUGUAGGUCUUACCGGUCUUAUCCGAGGAAGGAUUUGAUGACCCAGAAGUAUAGGGGAUCUAUCGUAGUGCUUUCGAUAUGUAAGAGUGUCGAACCCAACGAGGAGCAGAAGUAAAUGAUAAGCGGUUUUCAGCAAGGUAUUCUCUGCAAGUACUGAAAUAAGUGGUAACAGAUAGUUUUGUGAUAAGAUAAAUUGUAACGAGCAACAAGUAACAAAAGUAAUAAAGUGCAGCAAGGUGGCCCAAUCCUUUUUGUAGCAAAGGACAAGCCUGGACAACUCUAAUAAUAGGAAAAGUGCUCCCGAGGACACAUGGGAAUAUCAUCAAGCUAGUUUUCAUCACGUUCAUAUGAUUCGCGUACGGUACUUUGAUAAUUUGAUAUGUGGGUGGACCGGUGCUUGGGUACUGCCCAUACUUGGACAAGCAUCCCACUUAUGAUUAACCUCUAUUGCAAGCAUCCGCAACUACAACAAAAGUAUUAAGGUAAACCUAACCAUAGCAUGAAACAUAUGGAUCCAAAUCAGCCCCUUACGAAGCAACGCAUAAACUAGGGUUUAAGCUUCUGUCACUCUAGCAACCCAUCAUCUACUUAUUACUUCCCAAUGCCUUCCUCUAGGACCAAAUAAUGGUGAAGUGUUAUGUAGUCGACGUUCACAUAACACCACUAGAGGCUAGACAACAUACAUCUCAUCAAAAUAUCGAUCGAAUACCAAAUUCACAUGACUACUAAUAGCAAGACUUCUCCCUUGUCCUCAGGAACAAACGUAAUUACUCACAAAGCAUAUUCAUGUUCAUAAUCAGAGGGGUAAUAAAGUGCAUAAAGGAUCUGAACAUAUGAUCUUCCAACAAAUAAACCAACUAGCAUCAACUACAAGGAGUAAUCAACACUACUAGCAAACUACUAGCACCAAUCCCGGACUUGGAGACAAGAAUUGGAUACAAGAGAUGAACUGGGGUUUGUAGAUGAGAUGGUUCUGUUGAAGAUGUUGAUGGAGAUUGCCCUCUCCCGAUGAGAGGAGCGUUGGUGAUGACGAUGGUGAUGAUUUCCCCCUCCUGGAGGGAAUUGUCCCCGGCAGAACAGCUCCGCCAGAGCCUAGAUUGGUUCCGCCAAGGUUCCGCCUCGUGGCGGCGAAGUCUCGUCCCGAAAGGUUGCUUGCUAUUUUUUUCUCAUCGAAAGACUUCAUAUAGGAGAAGAUGGGCGGCGGAGAGCCACCAGGGGGCCCACGAGGUAGGGGGCGUGCGCAGGGGGGGGGCGCCCCCCACCCUCGUGAGCAGGGUGUGGGCCCCCUGGUCUUCAUCUUUGGCGACGAUUUUUCUUUAUUUAUUUUAAGGUAUUCCGUGGAGUUUCAGGACUUUUGGAGUUUUGUAGAAUAGGCCUCCAAUAUUACUCCUUUUCCAGCCCAGAAUUCCAAUUGUUGGCAUUCUCCCCCUUCAUGUAAACCUUGUAAAAUAAGAGAGAAUAGCCAUAAGUAUUGUGACAUAACGUGAAAUAACAGUCCAUAAUGCAAUAAAUAUUAUCACAAAAGCAUGAUGCAAAAUGGACGUAUCAACUCCCCCAAGCUUAGACCUCGCUUGUCCUCAAGCGAAAAGCCGAUAACAAUAAAUAUGUCCUCAUGUUUAGAGGUAGAGGCGUCGGAAAAAAUAAAAUACGGACAUGAAGGCAUCAUGAUUAUUUCAUAACAGCAACACAAAUAGAUUUUGUCAUAUGAUUAGUCAUGUUCAAGUGAUGAUCUUUUCACAAAGCCAAAGCAUGAAUCAGAAAUCUUAUUGAGCACCAACAAAUUAUACCCUCAGUCAUUGAAGCAAUUGCAAUUUAUCAUAACAUCGGAAAGAGUCUAUGUCAGAGCUCUAAAAGCAAGUCCACAUACUCAACUAUCAUUUAGUCCUUCAUAAUUGCUAGCACUCGCGUGAUACUUGUGGUUAUGGAGUUCUAAUCGGACACAGAGAAAGAUAGGGGCUUAUAGUUUUGCCCCACAACCUUUUACCUCAAGGGUAAUGUCAACAAUAAUAAUUCAUGCUCCCUCACAUCCAAUCAGAUAUAUAUAUAUAUAUAUAUCAUGUUCUUUCCAACAUGCUGAGCUUGUCAAAGGAUAAAAUGAAAAAAAUAAAGGUGAAGAUCACCGUGACUCUUGCAUAAGGUAGGGGAUAAGAAAAGAUAGGCCCUUCGCAGAGGGAAGCAGAGGUUGUCAUGCGCGUUUAGGGUUGAUGCACAAAAUCUUAAUGCAAAAGAACAUCACUUUAUAUUGCCCCUUGUAUGUGAACCUUUAUUAUGCAGUCCAUCGCUUUUAUUGCGUCCACAACAAGUUCGUACAAAGCUUAUUUCUCUGCACUAAUAAGUCAUUCAUAUUUAGAGAGCAAUUUUUAUUGCUUGCACCGAUGACAACUUACUUGAAGGAUCUUACUCAAUCCAUAGGUAGAUAUGGUGGACUCUCAUGGCAAAACUGGUUUAAGGGUGUUUGGAAGCACAAGUAGUAUUUCUACUUGGUGAUAAGAAUUUGGCUAGCAUGAGGGGGAAAGGCAAGCUCAACACGGUAGAGGAUCCAUGACAACAUACUUUAUCUCGGAUGUGAGAAAACAUAACUCAUUAUGUUGUCUUCCUUGUCCAACCUCAACUCUUUAACAUGUCAUAUUUUAAUGAGUGUUCCCAAUCAUGAAAGAUGUCAAUGAUAAUAUAUCUAUAUGUGAAACCUCUCUUUCCUUAUUACUUCCUAUUAAUUGCAACGAUGACCAAAGCUAUAUUUGCCAACUCCCAACAACUUUUAAUCAUCAUACUCUUUCUAUGUGAAGUCAUUACCUUCACUAAGAUCAAUAUGAACUCUUUGAUUCUUUUUAUUCUUUUCUUCUAUUCACCCAAAAUCAUGGCAAAACAAUCAAGCCCUUGACUCAACACUAAUCUUUAUUAUAUGGCUCACGGACUCGAUUACAAAGAAGGAUCGUAAAGCAAAACUCAAAACUAGAUCAUACCAUGACUUUAUUCUACUAAAUCAAGAUACUACUAAUAGGAUCAAACUAAGAAAAACGGUAAAGGUAGGAGUUGUGAUGGUGAUACGAUACCAGGGCACCUCCCCCAAGCUUGGUAGUUGCCAAGGGGAGUGCCCAUACCCAUGUGAUUAUAUCCUCGGGGGUGAUGGAGGUAUUGUCGAUGAUGCAGGUGACUCCUUCCUCAAUUUACGCUUGAGUAUAAUGUUUUGCUCUUUUAGGUCUUCGAUCUCCCGCUCAAGACUUAAUACUCUUUUGCAUAGUUCUUGCUUAUUUUCCUGCAAGAGACAAAAAGGGAUAAACUCGAUCUUUGGCUUCUUAGCUCUAUCAGGUAGACUUGACUUUUUAAACUCCACAUGCACAUCCCCCGGUUGAGGUAGCGGAACUUCAUCUUCGUCUGAGCUUGUUUCCUCCUUCUCCUUAGGCUCAUAGUCUUCUUCUUCUUCCGUGGUCCAGCCACUACGGUCCAAAUCCCCGUAGACCUUAGGGUCUGCAAGGUAAUCAGCCACAUAGCUUUCUCCCUCCGAAUCUUGAGAUGACAUCGUGCUUUUAAUCUGUAGCAGCAAUAGCUCGAAACGAAAACAGAGGAUAUUUGCGUGAUACGGGAGUCAAAACCUUCGGGAGUAUAUAUAACGAAUUUUUACCGACCAAAAUAUGUAUCGUGCAAGGAAACGGAGUCCGGAGGGCACACGAGGUGCUCAUGAGGUAGGGGGGCGCGCCCAGGGAGGUAGGGCGCACCCUCCACCCUCGUGGAGGCCUCGUGUCCUCCCCGGACUGCUACUCAUUUUUCUAUUUUUCUAAAUAUUCCAAAACGGAGAAAUAUUGCCUUAAAAAUUGUUUUGGAGUCGGUUUACUUACCGUACCACAUACCUAUUCCUUUUUCGGAGUCUGAAGCAGGUUGGAAAGUGUCCCUUAUGUAUUCCUCCGGGGUUACGUUUUUAAUAAUAUUAGUUUCAACAUUUAUAGGAUUACCGAAGAUAUAGUGUUUGAUCCUUUGACCGUUUACCACCUUCGGAUUUGUGCCUUCGAAGUUGUUGAUUUUUAUGGCACCGGAACGAUAGACCUCCUCGAUAACGUAGGGACCUUCCCAUUUGGAGAGAAGUUUUCCUGCAAAAAAUCUUAAACAAAAGUUUUAUAGCAAUACAUAAUCACCUACAUUAAACUCACGCUUUUGUAUCCUUUUGUCAUGCCAUCUUUUAACUUUUUCUUUAAACAACUUGGCAUUUUCAUAAGCUUGGGUUCUCCAUUCAUUAAGUGAGCUAAUGUCAAAUAACCUCUUCUCACCGGCAUGUUUGAAAUCAUAGUUGAUCUCUUUAAUAGCCCAAUAUGCCUUAUGUUCUAGUUCGAGAGGUAAGUGACAAGCUUUUCCAUAGACCAUUUUGUAUGGGGACAUACCCAUAGGAUUUUUAUAUGCAGUUCUAUAGGCCCAUAAUGCAUCAUCAAGUUUCUUGGACCAAUUCUUUCUAGACCUCUUAACAGUCUUUUGCAAAACUAAUUUGAGCUCUCUAUUGCUCAACUCUACUUGACCAAUAGACUGCGUGUGAUAAGGAGAUGCAAUCCUAUGAUUAACGUCAUAUUUAGCGAGCAUCUUACGGAAAGCACCAUGAAUAAAAUGUGAACCACCAUCAGUCAUUAAAUAUCUAGGGACUCCAAACCUUGGAAAAAUAACUUCCUUAAGCAUUUUAAUAGAAGUGUUAUGAUCAUCACUACUAGUUGGAAUAGCUUCUACCCACUUAGUAACGUAAUCAACAGCAACUAAAAUAUGUGUGUAUCCAUUAGAGGCAGGAAAAGGCCCCAUAUAAUCAAAGCCCCAAACAUCAAAUGGUUCAAUAAGAAGUGAAUAAUUCAUAGGCAUUUCUUGAUGUCUACUAAUAUUACCAAUUCUUUGACAUUCAUCGCAAGACAAAACAAACUUACGGGCAUCCUUGAAGAGAGUAGGCCAAUAAAAACCAGAUUGCAAUACCUUAUGUGUAGUUCUAUCUCCAGCAUGGUGUCCUCCAUAAGCUUCGGAGUGACACUUGCGUAGGAUCUGUUCCUGUUCAUGCUUAGGUACACAACGUCUAAUUACACCAUCUACUCCUUUAUAAAGAUGUGGGUCAUCCCAAAAGUAAUGUCGCAAGUCAAAGAAUUUUUUUUCUUUUGCUGGUAUGUGAAGCUAGGUGGUAUAAAUUUAGCGACAAUAUAAUUAGCAUAAUCAACAUAACAUGGAGUGCUAUGAGAAGUGCUUAUGACAUUUAAUUGUUCAUCAAGAAAGCUAUCAUCAAUAGGUAGUUCGUCAUCAAGAACAUUCUCUAACCUAGAUAAGUUGUCUGCAACGGGGUUCUCAGCUCCUUUCCUAUCAACAAUAUGCAAAUCGAAUUCUUGCAGCAGGAGAACCCAUCUAAUAAGUCUAGGUUUUGCACCUUUCUUUUCCAUAAGAUAUUUAAUAACAGCAUGAUCAGUAUGAAUAGUUACUUUAGAAUCAACAAUAUAGGGUAUGAAUUUAUCACAAGCAAAUACAACUGCUAAAAGUUCCUUUUCGGUAGUAGCAUAGUUUCUUUGAGCAUUGUCUAGAGUCUUACUAGCAUAAUGGAUAACAUUUAAUUUCUUAUCAACUCUUUGCCCUCGAACAGCACCUACAUCAUAAUCACUAGCAUCACACAUAAUUUCAAAGGGUAAAUUCCAAUCAGGUGGCUGAACAAUAGGUGCAGAGACUAAUGCUUUCUUAAGUAUUUCAAAUGCUUCUACACAAUCAUCAUCAAAGACAAACUGUACAUCUUUUUGUAAUAAAUUAGUCAGAGGCCGAGAAAUUUUUGAGAAGUCCUUAAUGAACCUCCUAUAAAAUCCGGCGUGACAUGGUAAACUUCUUAUACCUUUGAUUUCCUUGGGACAUGGCAUCUUUUCAAUAGCAUCAACCUUGGCCUUAUCAACUUCAAUACCUCUUUCAGAAACUUUGUGCCCCAAGACAAUACCUUCAUUAACCAUAAAGUGGCACUUUUCCCAAUCCAAGACAAGAUUAGUUUCUUCACAUCUCUGUAAAACUCGAGCAAGAUUGCUCAAGCAAUCAUCAAAAGAGGAACCAUAGACGGAAAAGUCGUCCAUGAAAACCUCACAAAUCUUUUUGCAAAAGUUAGAGAAUAUAGCCAUCAUGCAUCUUUGAAAGGUAGCAGGUGCAUUACAUAAACCAAAAGGCAUACAUCUAUAAGCAAAAGUACCAAAAGGGCAUGUAAAAGUAGUCUUUGAUUGAUCUUUAGCUGACACAGGUAUUUGAGAGAAACCAGAAUAACCAUCUAGAAACCAAUAGUGUGUAUGUUUGCAUAAUCUUUCUAGAAUUUGUUCAAUAAAAGGUAAGGGGUAAUGAUCUUUCUUAGUAGCUUUAUUUAACUUACGGAAAUCAAUUACCAUCCUAUAACCUAUGAUAAUUCUGUGAGGGAUCAAUUCAUCUUUAUCAUUAGGGACAACAGUAAUACCUCCCUUCUUAGGGACACAAUGGAUAGGACUUACCCACUGACUAUCAGCAACGAGAUAAAUUAUACCUGCCUCCAGAAGCUUGAGUAUUUCUUUUCUUACCACUUCUUUCAUUUUAGGAUUCAAACGUCGUUGAGGAUCACAAACUGGUUUGGCAUCAGCUUCCAAAUUUAUAUUAUGUUGACAUAGAGUGGGACUAAUGCCCUUAAGAUCAUCAAGUGUAUAUCCAAUAGCGGCACGGUGCUUCUUCAGAGUUUUAAAUAAUCUUUCUUCUUCAUGCUCUGAAAGGUUAGCGCUAAUAAUGACAGGAUAUAUUUUCUUUUCAUCAAGAUAAGCAUAUUUAAGAUUAUCAGGCAACGGUUUAAGCUCAAACACGGGAUCACCCUUGGCUGGAGGAGGAUCCCCUAGGAUUUCAAUAGGCAAAUUGUGUUGCAGAAUAGGUUCCUGUUUAAAGAAUACUUCAUCUAUUUCCCUUCUUUCAUUCAUGAACAUGUCAUUCUCAUGGUCUAGCAAAUAGUGUUCUAAAGGAUCACUAGGAGGUACGGCAAUGGAAGCAAGACCAAUAAUUUCAUCCUUACUAGGCAAUUCUUCCUCACGAUGUUGUUUACUAAAUUUGGAGAAAUUAAACUCAUGAACCAUAUCAUCUAAGCCAAUAGUAACAACAUUCUUUUCACAGUCUAUCUUAGCAUUAACAGUAUUCAAGAAGGGUGUACAAAAUAUAAUGGGACAAAAGCUAUCUUGUGGAGAACCAAGAACAAGAAAAUCAGCCGGAUAUUUGGUUUUCCCACACAAGACUUCAACAUCUCUUACAAUUCCCACUGGAGAAAUAGUAUCUCUAUUGGCAAGUUUAAUUGUAACAUCAAUACCUUCUAACUCAGCAGGUGCAAUAUCAUGCAUAAUUUAUUUGUAUAAGUCAAUGGGUAUAACACUAGCACUAGCACCCAUAUCACACAAGCCAUGAUAACAACGAUCUCCUAUUUUAACAGAAAUAACAGGCACGCCUACCACAGGUCUAUGUUUAUCUUUAUAACAAGGUUUAGCAAUUCUGGCAGUUUCACCACAGAAUUGAAUAACAUGCCCAUCAAUAUUGUCAGACAAGAGAUCUUUAACAAUAGCAAUAUUAGGUUCUACUUUGACUUGCUCAGGAGGUGUAUAAGUUCUAAUAUUGCUUUUACGAACAACAGUUGAAGCUUUAGCAUGAUCCUUCAUUCUAACAGGGAAAGGUGGUUUCUCAACAUAAGAAGUGGGAACAAUAGGAUCAUUAUAAGUGACAAUCUUUUCUUCAACUUUAAUAGGUGUAGCUACUUUUACUUCUAUGGGAGGAUUAUAUUUAAACCACUUCUCCUUGGGGAGAUCAACAUAAGUAGCAAAAGAUUCACAGAAAGAAGCUACUAUUUCAGAGUCAAGUCCAUAUUUAGUGCUAAACUUACGGAAAAUAUCGGUAUGCAUAAAAGAUUUAAUACAAUCAAACUUAGGUGUCAUACCUGACUCCUUACCUUCGUCGAGGUCCCAAUCUUCAGAGUUGCAUUUAAUUCUAUCCAAUAAAUUCCAUCUGAAUUCAAUAGUCUUCAUCAUAAAAGAGUCAGCACAAGAAGUCUCGAGCAUGGUGCGAUUGUUAUCAGAAAGCCGAGCAUAUUUUUUUUGCAUAAUUACUUCUCUUGCGAGCUCAAGAUUGGGGCAUGAAUAUAACAUUGAUUUAAGCCUCACCCAAGCUUGAGCGAUGCUUUCUCCUUCGCGAGGCCAAAAAUUAUAUAUAUAAAUGCGAUCACGAUGAACAAGAUGCAUAGGGUAAUACUUUUGAUGAAAUUUCAAUUUCAAUAUUUUCUAGUUCCAUGAUCUCGUAUCAUCACAUAGCUUGUACCAUGUCAAUGUGUCUCCCUUCAAAGAUAAAGGGAAAGCCUUCUUCUUAACAACAUCAUCGGGUAUACCUGCAAGCUUAAAUAGUCCACAAACAUCAUCCACAUAGCGUAGAUGUUCAUCAGGAUGCUUUGUUCCAUCUCCUGUAAAAGUGUUAGCUAGCAGUUUUUCCAUCAAACCCGAAGGAAUGUCAAAAGGAGUUUCAUUUUCAAUAGGUUCAGUAGGUUGAGUAGGUUGAGGAGCAACUCUUUGCUCUGCUGGACGGGGUGAAGAUACCCCGAACAAGCCCCUCAGACAAUUACUUUCCAUAGUAACAAGUGAUAGAAAAUUUCAGCACACUAAAUAAAUUUUUCCUUACCAAAUUCCACCUACCAAAGGCGCUUCACUCCCCGGCAACGGCGCCAGAAAAGAGUCCUGAUGACCCACAAGUAUAGGGAAUCUAUCGUAGUCCUUUCGAUAAGUAAGAGUGUCGAACCCAACGAGGAGCAGAAGGAAAUGAUAAGCGGUUUUCAGCAAGGUAUUCUCUGCAAGUACUGAAAUAAGUGGUAACAGAUAGUUUUGUGAUAAGAUAAAUUGUAACGAGCAACAAGUAACAAAAGUAAUAAAGUGCAGCAAGGUGGCCCAAUCCUUUUUAUAUCAAAGGACAAGCCUGGACAACUCUAAUAAUAGGAAAAGCGCUCCCGAGGACACAUCGGAAUAUCGUCAAGCUAGUUUUCAUCACGUUCAUAUGAUUCGCGUUCGGUACUUUGAUAAUUUGAUAUGUGGGUGGACCGGUGCUUGGGUACUGCCCUUACUUGGACAAGCAUCCCACUUAUGAUUAACCGCUAUUGCAAGCAUCCGCAACUACAACAAAAGUAUUAAGGUAAACCUAACCAUAGCAUGAAACAUAUGGAUCCAAAUCAGCCCCUUACGAAGCAACACAUAAACUAGGGUUUAAGCUUCUGUCACUCUAGCAACCCAUCAUCUACUUAUUACUUCCCAAUGCCUUCCUCUAGGCCCAAAUAAUGGUGAAGUGUUAUGUAGUCGAUGUUCACAUAACACCACUAGAGGCUAGACAACAUACAUCUCAUCAAAAUAUCGAACGAAUACCAAAUUCACAUGACUACUAAUAGCAAGACUUCUCCCUUGUCCUCAGGAACAAACGUAAUUACUCACAAAGCAUAUUCAUGUUCAUAAUAAGAGGGGUAAUAAAGUGCAUAAAGGAUCUGAACAUAUGAUCUUCCACCAAAUAAACCAACUAGCAUCAACUACAAGGAGUAAUCAACACUACUAGCAAACUACUAGCACCAAUCCCGGACUUGGAGACAAGAAUUGGAUACAAGAGAUGAACUAGGGUUUGGAGAUGAGAUGGUGCUGGUGAAGAUGUUGAUGGAGAUUGCGCUCUCCCGAUGAGAGUAGCGUUGGUGAUGACGAUGGUGAUGAUUUCCCCCUCCCGGAGGGAAUUGUCCCCGGCAGAACAGCUCUGUCAGAGCCUAGAUUGGUUCCGCCUCGUGGCGGCGGAGUCUCGUCCCGAAAGGUUGCUUGCUAUUUUUUUCUCAUCGAAAGACUUCAUAUAGGAUAAGAUGGGCGUCGGAGAGCCACCAGGGGGCCCACGAGGUAGGGGCGCACCCAGGGGGGCGCCCCCACCCUUGUGAGCAGGGUGUGGGCCCCCUGGCCUUCAUCUUUGGCAACGAUUUUUCUUUAUUUAUUUUAAGGUAUUCCGUGGAGUUUCAGGACUUUUGGAGUUGCGUAGAAUAUGCCUCCAAUAUUUACUCCUUUUCCAGCCCAGAAUUCCAGCUACCGGCAUUCUCCCCCUUCAUGUAAACCUUGUAAAAUAAGAGAGAAUAGCCAUAAGUAUUGUGACAUAAUGUGAAAUAUUAGUCCAUAAUGCAAUAAAUAUUAUCACAAAAGCGUGAUGCAAAAUGGACGUAUCAGGGUUCUCACCAUUUUAUUAUGGGACUUUUCUCAUUUGCUUCUUAUUGAUAUUUCUAUAAAGAUUUUGUUAGCCCAUGUUGUUAGCUUUCCAACAAACUUGGUUUCGUUGAAUUCGGAGUCUGUUUGCAGAAGUUGUGGCUGUUUUGGUAAAGGCUGCAGCGGUACUACCGCGACUAGAGCGGAUGUAAAUUUUUACUACCGCUCCAGAGCGGUACUGCCGCAGAUCCUGAGCGGUAGUACCGCUCCAGAGCUGUACUACCACGGCUCCUGAGCGGUAGUACCGCUUCGGACCAAAAUCUCGUGUUUUGCUCAGCGGAGGUAGGCACGGAAGUAUUUUUUAGUACUGCUCGCAAGUAGUAGUACCGCUACCAUUUGCGGUAGUAUCGUGAGGUCGAGCGGUAGUACCGUGAGGACGAGCGGUAGUACCGCUCCGGCGGUUCUACUGGCCUUUUGCCUCCUCGCUGUUGUUUUUCAAAGGGGAACUACCGCCCUAGCGGUAGUACCGCUCCUUGGAGCGGUAGUACCGCUCUGUGCGGGCUGUGAGCAUAACGGUUGGAUUUUCCCCCACCUACAAAAGGGGAUAUUCUUCCCCAUUGAACCUUAUCCUUUGAGCUCGUGUUCUUCCCCCAUUGUUGACUUUCUUCGACCUUGGAAACUCUCAAUCCCUCCAUGGAUUCCUGCUAGUUUUUUGAGGGAAAAGAGAGAGGGGAUCUAAAUCCACAUUUCCACCAAUCACUUUCUCCUCUAUGUGAGGGGAACCCAUUGGAUCUAGAUCUUGGAGUUCUUGGUCUUCUCCUUCUUGUUCUUCCUCUCAUCUUCCUCCCUAGCAUUAGUUGCUUCGGUGGGAUUUCAGAGAGAAGGACUUGGGCACUCUGUGUGCCCUUGCCAUUGCAUUUGGUGCAUCGGUUUGAGUUCUCCACAUGAUACGUGGAUGUUACAAGUUGAGAAGCUUAUUACUCUUGGGUGCUUGGUACCCUUGAGCUUGUUACUCUUGGGUGUUUGGACACCCUAGAGCUUGUUCCUCUUGGGUGCCUUGGUGCCCUAGAUGGUUGGUGUUGUUUGGAGCUCAAUCAUUGUGGUGUAAAGCUCCGGGCAGGCGUCGGGGUCUCCAAUUAGGUUGUGGAGAUCGCCCCGAGCAAUUUGACGGGUACCGGUGACCGCCCCCAAGGGUUCCCAAAGUGUAUGGGUUCGGUGACCGCCCCCAAGGGUCGCCAUCUGUACGGGUUCGGUGACCGUCCUCAAGUGUCACUUAGUGGAAUCACGGCACCUUUCAUUGCGCGAGGGCAUGAGGAGAUUACGGUGGCCCUAGUGGCUUAUUGGGGAGCAUUGUGCCUCCACACCGCUCCAAACGGAGAUUAGCAUCCGCAAGGGUGUGAACUUCGGGAUACAUCAUCGUCUCCGCGUGCCUCAGUUAUCUCUUACCCGAGCCCUUUACUUAUGCUCUUUACUUUGUGAUAGCCAUAUUGUUCUUUGUCAUAUAUCUUGCUAUCACAUAGUUGCUUAUCUUGCUUAGCAUAAGUUGUUGGUGCACAUCGGUGAGCCUAGUUGUUUUAGGUUUUGUGCUUGACAAAUUAGCCGCUAGGUUUAUUCCGCAUUUCUUCAAGCCUAAACCGUAAUUAUUUUAAAUCGCCUAUUCACCCCCCUUUAGGCGACAUCCUCGAUCUUUCAAUUGGUAUCAGAGCCUCAUCUCUCUUUGUUAGGCUUAACCGCCUAGAGAGUAAAGAUGUCAACUAGGGGAUUAGGAUUCUAUGAUACUCUUAGUUUCGAUGGCACAAAUUUUGAUGUUUGGGUAAUUUGCAUGCUUAAUCUCUUUAGAGUCAUGGACCCAAAUUUAGAGCGAAUAGUAGAUAUGGGUUUUUCUCCUCCAAAUGAUCCCCAAAGAUUAUCUUUAGAGGAUGAGAAAAACUCUUAUCUCAAUGCUCAAGAUUCUAAUGUGCUUUUCGAUGCUUUGAGCAAUGCAGUUAUAUUUCAACUCUUGUCGUUUCGGGAUGCUCAUGAGUUGUGGACGAAUCUUCAAGAUAAAUAUGGUGUGUCCAAGAUUUGUGGGGAUGAUUGUUCUCCCUCCACCUCCGGUCAUAUAGUCUUCUCAACUUCUUCUACUUCACCUAUGUGUGGUUUGCCACAAGGUAAUAAUAUGGUGAGUAGUGUUGGUCAUUGCAAUGAUGAUAGUAUGUUUAUUGUGGAUGAUCCUUCAUCACUAUCUUAUUGCAAUGCUCCUUCUUUGGGCUUUAACACUUCGAGCACUCCAAAUGUUUCACAUGCUUGUGUUGAUAGUCCUUGCAUAUGAUGUAGAAAUUGCUUGACUAAAUCUCAUGAUGAUAUGCUUGCUAUGUCUUGUUGCCAUGAUAAAAAUGCAUCCCUUUCCUCGAAUUGUUGUGCUAACAAUGUAGAGGAAACCCAACACUCCAUGGAACAAGAUGUGGUUUUAAAUGGUGCUACAAGGGAUCCUACAUUAUCAUCUAUUGCGUUUUGCCUUAUGGCCAAGGCUUCAAAGGCAUCUCCUACCUUGAACCCCAAUAUGUCUCUUGAUGAUGAUGUUGAUGCUAAUGAUGAUGAGGAUAAUGAUGAACAGAAUGAUAAUGUUUCCUCCUUAAAAACCAAGGGGGAAAUGAUUUUUAUAGCUCUUCAUAAAAAUAAAAUUGCUCGAUCCAGCUUCAUGGAAAUAAUGUCCAUUGCCAUUGAAGGCAAGAAAUACAUCGAGGAGUUGGAAUCUCAUCUAGAGGAGCAUGAGGUCACCAUUGAGAAAAUGGAAGCUCGUGAGCGUGAUUACACAAAUGAGAUCGCGAAGCUAUCUCAAGCUCUUGAACAUGAACAAACCACCUCCGAAUCUCUUGAGGAAACUUUUGCUCUAGAAUUAUAUAGAGUGAGGGAAUCUCAUGAUAGAGCUCUAGAGGUGGCCAAUGAUUUCAAAACUAAAAAUGUUAAGCUUGAAAUUGCUCAUGCUAGACUCCUUGAGGACUUUGAGGACCUCGAAAAUGGCUCUAGGGUCAUUAAGAGUAAGCUCAUCAAAAUCACUGAGUCUCAUGCUCAACUUAAAGCUUCCUAUUUGAAAGAGCUUGCCAAGUUGCCCUCUCCUCUUGUUGUCAAUGAUGAUGCUUGUGCUACUAACUCUUUUUCUUGUCAAGCAUCCAUUUUGAAGGAGAAUGUUGAGCUAUGGGCUCAACUUGAAUUGUUAACUAUCAAUUAUGGGAAAUUGGAAGAAAACCAUGAAAAGCUCUCAAGCUCUCAUGAUGAUCUUCUAGUGUCCCAUAAUGUGCUAAAGAUAGCUCAUGAGGCCAUCAUUGCUAAGGUAACAUCAAGUGAGCCUCAUGUGGAUACUAGCACUAGUUUUAGUCAAAAUGCUAUAUUGCCUUGUGCUAGUCCUCAUGAUUCAUCCAUGCAUAACAUUGGUACAUCUUGUGAUGAAUUGCUUUCCUUGCCUUGUUGCUCUCAUGAUGAAGCUUAUACUUCCUCUAGUGCUUGUGUUGAGACUAACCAUGUAGAGGAAAUCAAAGAGCUCAAGGCACAAGUCACUUCUUUGAAGAAAGACUUGGAAAAGUGUCAUGAAGGGAAGGCCACACUCAACAAUAUCUUGAGUGUGCAAAAAUCCCCCAAUGACAAAGGUGGACUUGGAUUCAACUCCAAUAAGAAGAAGAAGUCCAAGAGAAUCAAGAAGAAGGGCCAAGAACAAGUCAAGAAUUCGGCCAAGAUUAUUUGCUUUAAGUGCAAAAUUGAAGGGCAUCAUGUUAGAUCUUGCCCAUUGAAGAAGAAGGCCAUUAGUGACAAGCAACAAGGGAAGAGGCCACAAGUUCAAUCUCAUGCUCAACCUCAAGUUGAAGAAAGGCCACUUCCCAAGAAGACUCAAGCUAAUGCUUCUCUUGUGGAAAAAUCAAGUGAGAAGAAAGUGAAGAGUAGAUGUUGCUACUUAUGUCGUGAGAAAGGUCACGUCGCUUCUUCAUGCACUAGUGGUAACUUAUACAACCCAAUUAUUAUUGAUGAUAUCUAUUCUCUUGGCAAUGAUAAGGUUGGCAAUGUGUUUGCCAAGUUUGUUGGUACUCAAAGUGGUGUCAAGAAAAGAACCAUUUGGGUAGCCAAGACUAUUGCGACUAACCUCUUAGGACCCAACUUGGUUGGGGACCACCAAGCUCAAACUUGAUCAAUAGGUGUUGAUGGAGGGCAUUGGAGACUUGGCUACAUUAGGAAUACUUAAGGGGACUUCAUCAUUCUUAUUGUCUCAAGCCAAGUCAAUUGGAUUAUCAAGUUUCUAUCUUAUAUCCAAUGUGCCUCCUUGCGGUAACUUGUACUUAAAUUGUUUACAUUGAAAGUUACUUGCCCCCUUGCAUGUUUUGGUUUUGUUCCUUGCUUGUGUUUGUAUAUGUUGUGCUUCCAACUUGCUUAUCUUGAGCAAUCAAGUAUGUGUGUGUUGGUUUGCACAUCAUGUACGUGUGUGUCGUGUGUUGAGCCUUUAUGCUUCUUGUUUGUAUCCUAGUUGGCUCUUGUGAGAGAUUAAUGGAAUAUUCAUUUAUGGGGGAGUGAUAUGCUUUGUGCACCUCACAAUCCUAUAAAUGUGUGUACAUGAGGAAUACCAUCUAGUAUUGAUAUUACAAGAUUAUCUAGUCCCAAUGUGGUAUAUCUCUCAUGAGAAAUUCAAAUUCUAAAAAUCCCAUUGAUUAUCUCUUGUUGGAUCCUCUUAUUGCCGCUUGUUAAGUUCUUAUUGGUAUCACAUUAUGGGGGAGUAAUAUGCUAUGUGCAUAUUACAAGCCUAGAAAAUGUGUGCAUUUGAGAUAUUGUCACAUAGAAUUGAUAUUGUAAAUUAUCAUGUUCCUAGGUGGCAUGUUAGCUCUACAAGUUGCAAAUUGCUUGUGUAUGGUGUGAAGAUGAUGUUGGAUAUCCUUGCUAUCUACCACCGGAAAUUCUUUCCAUCUACCUCUUAUCUUUUGACAAUUGGUAGUCACUUAUGUGUGGUAGAUUUUAUUGAUCAUCUUUACAUUGGCUUUUGUUUUUAUUUGCCUUUUCUCUUGCCAAGGUUUGUGUCAACUCCCAUUGUCUUCCAUACCACUUGUGGAUCUUGUUUAUUUCUUGUUCUUGUCUAGUGUUUUCUAGAUAUAGUGAAAGUGGUGAUCCCACCUUGUGCAUUUUGUAUUCAAAUGCAAAUUCUCUCUAAUGCACAACUCGUGGGGGAGCUAUCCUAUUUUCUAUAAAACGCUCAUCUUGUGAUCCUUAUCAAGUGUUUGUGGGUGGAAGGCAAGCCAUCUUAUUUUUGGUACCUUGUGCCAUCAUGAAACUUUGUGGAGAGCUUGGUUUGUUUGGAACCAUCCUCUCUUUGGAAGUUUGACAUCUCUAAUUUAGUGUUUAUCAAUGGAUAUCUCAUUCCUUGAUGUAUCUUUAAUGGUAUCUUCCAAGUGGUGAUUUCUCCAUUUGGUAUCCUUUUCACUUGGCUUUUCUUUGUCAUUUGGUUUCGCUUCUUGAAAGUCUUGAGCAUGCAUGUUUAUUUCAUGUAUUUUAUUUGGCAUGCUUUCUUUCUUUGACCUAAUAUAUAGGGGAAACUCCACCUAGUCUCAAUUUGGAUGAGAUGUGCAUGAAAUUCAUCUUCAUAUCUAUAUGCACAUAUUUAUGUGGAGUUUGUCCUAUGUAUUGGUAUUUCUAACUAUUUGGUCCCAAUAAGUUUGGGUACCGUUUAGUUUGUGUUGUUCUUCUAGGAACAUUUGGAGAUGCAUUGGAUGCUCGGCUCACUCACAAGGAAGGUGUUGUCACCAUGUGCUUAUUAGAGUCAAGCUAGGAUGAUCAAUGAACUACUAUCUACCUUCAAUUGGUAUCUACUAAAUCCUUCCAAUGGUAUCUCGGUAACAAGUAUCAUCAUCUACUUCAUGCACACAUUUCUUGCAUCAACCUUGUGUAGGUUGUAUCAUGGCAUGUAUUUCAUUCUUUCUUGUGAUACUUGUUUCCUUUCUCAAAGCAUCUCAACGAUGAUCUCAUGUUGCUAGUUGUGAUGUCUUUGAUGGUUGUGUGGUAGGAAUUCAUUUAUAUACAAUAAGACCAUAUCUAGCCAUGUGCUAUGCUUCCAAGCAAAUAUCUUAUUGGUAUAUGUAUGACUUCCUUUUGGAUAUCAUGUUCCUUCAUGUUGUAACUAUGUCAGGUGUACAUCCUUCUUUGUAGACAUAUAUCAUCAUGAUUUCGUCUACCUAGAACCUUAUACACCUGAGAGAAUUUACAUCUCUAGAUGAUAUCCUUUCUUUCACAUCCACCUUGUCUUUCUUAUGUUAUUUCUUUGGUGGCUCCGUGAAAGCGUUUGUCUUGAGUGCGGAUCUUAUAUCUUGUUGCAUCUUGUUGCACUCUUGUGUAGUGCAGAUUUUUUCCCUCGUGCUUGUCUUUACGAGGCUUGCCAUCUUCAUUGGUAUCCCUCGUCUUGAUAAGGCUUUCUUUUUCCUUCUUCACCAUGGGUUGUCACAAGCCUUGUUGUUAACUCACAUUCUAGUGAGCUUGUGAACCCAUUUGCUUGUUGGAUGUGUGUGGGGACGACAUGUCAUGCACCGUGUAUUUCAUUUACCCAAGGCUAUGUUGAUGCUUUAUGCUCAUCCUUAUAUUAGUCUUCUCAAGUGCUUUGUCAUGACUCACACACAUCAUUUUGGUUGAGCCUAUUCUUAGUUGCCUCUUUUUCAUGCUUGCUCAAUCUUUUGUCUGUUGCAAGUGCUAGGCUUUGUUUCCUAUAUGCUCACUUACAAUUGUUGUAAGUUUCUAUUGACUUUGGGGGAUCUAUGAUCCUAUUUUGUGCACUCUGUAUCCAAUACAAAUAUUUUUAUUUGUGCACAAAUCAUGGGGAGCUUCUCUAGUUUCUUUAGAACACUCCUCUACUCAUAUCAUAAUAUCUUUUUCAUGUGGCUCAUAGGAUCAUUGGUCUAGUUGGUUCAAUUGAUAUCCUUUUAUUGCUUGCUUCAAUUGGUAUCUUUUGAUUGCUUGUGUCUCUCUUUGUUAUGUCUUCGUGGCAUAUCUUUCUUUAGCAAUCUUUGUGCCUCAAUAUAGUUUGUAUUCCUCUAAGUAUUUACCGUUGGAUAUGUGUAUUGCAUUUCACUCUCUUAUGGAGAAAUACACAAUUUUGGAGGACCACAAUUUAUAUUGGCCUUCUUAGCUCUGCGCCCAUUUUGGCAAUCGAUGCCAAUGGGAGAGAAGUUUCAGAGAGUUUUGUGGAGAAGUUUAGAGAGUUAUCUCCUCUUGCUUUGGUUGUGUUCCUUAGCAUGUGCAUCUCAUACACAUGCACUAUUGGGUGUUGCAUUGCUAGGGAAGCAUAAUUCCUUAUAUAAACUCUCUUGAAAGUGAUUGUCAUCAAUUACCAAAAUGAGGGAGAUUGAAAGGACAUGCGGUGCCCCCGUGUGUGGUUUUGGUAAUUGAUGACACUCUCUAUGGACUAAUGGUUCAUUGAGUUAUAUUUGAAGGAUUUGUCCAUAGGCUAUUCUUGAAGUCCAUGUGUUGGUUUCAAGGAGUUUAAUUGUUGACCAGGGUGCUAUUAAGGAAUUAUCCAAAGAUUGGUUAGGUGAGUGUUGUGCUUAGUUACCAUGGUCGCCUCUUCUCAUGACAUGGGGGCCGCGACCAAAUCUUAUUUUCAGAAUAUAUUCUCUGCUGAUUAUACUCUUGAACCCUCUGCUGUUAUUGAUCUAGUACAGUCACACGUUACUGAUGAAAUGAAUUAUUCUCUACGUGCUGAUUUCACCAAUCAGGAGAUUGCAGAUGCACUUCUCUAAACUGCUCUGCUCAAAGAUGGUUUCCCAGCAUGGUUCUUCAAAAGAAAUUGGUCCACGGUUAAAUUUGCUGCAGCAGCCAAUCAAUCAGCCAUGGUCUAUAGCCGAGCCGCCGUGCCGACGCAAAGACAGACCUCAAGGUCUAACACAAAAGUGGCAUUUUUUGUAGAAUUGGCAUGGCAGUGCAAGUCCUUGAUCAGACACUACACUAGGUAUGAUGAUUCUGGGUUUUAACUAGCUGACCUACUUGGAUCUGAGAGUUUUACAAGCCAAUCUUAUAAAAUCAAGAGGCAAGAGCAUUUCAGGCAAUGACAUAACCGAUCAAGGCAUGUAUCGCAAACCAGCCAAUUACGAGCGGAAACGUGGAUACAAGCGUAAACAUUACAGGCCUAAUACGAUGAACCAACCACCUGUUACAAGCCCAACCGACAUUUUCUAACCAGCCAAUGUACAGAGGGAAAACGAUAUUCCAAGCGGGCACUGAAGUGGCCAAUGCUAAGCUUCAACCAAAUGACCAAUAACGUAAAAGAUGUACAUAAUUGAUCACCUGUUUCUGAGUAGAGGAAAGAGUUCCUCAUCCCUUUGUUACCUACUCCUUCCGUAAUACAUCUAGAUACAUCCAUUUCCGAGACAAGUAAUUCCGAACGGAGGGAGUAACUAUUACCUCCAUUCCAAAAUACACGACAUUUUGGUAGGCCCAACGGAGGUAGCACCAAAGUAUCCCCAACAGGAAAAGUAAAUAAAUAAGAAAAUAUCAGCUCCUGCCACACAACAAUGAGAAAAGCUUUCUACUGCAAGCAUUGAGCAGAUAUGUAGUAUAAAUGAGACCUUGAUCUCAUACUCCCUCCGUUCCAAAUUACUCGUCGUUGAAAUGGAUGUAUCUAAAACUAAAAUACAUCUAGAUACAUCCAUACGUGCGACAAGUAAUUCGGAACGGAGGGAGUACCUCCAUAUGUGGAACUGAAAAUAUAACGAGUCUGCUCACCAUUAUGCGUUCAUUAAGAUGCAAUGCAAAGUCCAAAGCUGGAUCACUACAACACAUAGAGUUCUGAAGGUAGGGUUUCUUAACCCACUAGUUAAAUAAGGGUUUCUUAUAACCAACUAAUAGAGAUGAUACUACAGUGACAUAAAAAGCAGAACAGUGCUAGGCACCAGCACGAUCAAAGCAACAUUGCAUGCUUUCUCAAUAUUGUUUAGCUUCUUACGGAACUUCUCAUAGUCCUCCGCACUCCGCCUGAACAUAAGGGCAAUUAAAUUAGUUAGGAGAUAAAAAGGUAUCACUUUUUACUUUUAAAGUAUUACUCCCUCCGUGUCAAAACAUAAGACGUUUUUUUGACACUUUCAAAUAAUCAAAAAAACAUCUUAUAUAAAGUUACAGAGGUACUAUAUACAUUCUGCAACUAGGUUUAUCUCAGGCAAGUCACAAUUCACACAAAGUUCAUCACAGGAGCCCUACUUUGCGUCUAAAAAACAAGACUAGAGUCUGCUGAAUAAACAUGAGAGCACUAUUUCAAUAGACAUUCUGCAACACAUAUAUUGUACCAGAUCCAACAAUCCUAAUACUAAUAGAACCUGAAGCAGGUGACUCAAGUCGCUCACAGGAAACCCAAAGCAUCCUGAACUGCUUAACCAACUCAUUCUCAGUAUCAUAGAUAUAGAGUUGCGCAAACUUUGGCGACACGCCCCUUGGCGGCACCAACGAAUCUAUCCGAUGGUAGGCAACACCAUUUAUUUUAAGUAUGUAGACACCCUGACCCACAUUUAUGCUAUCAUCAACCUUCGCUCCAAGAGAAGUAAAAGCAAACAUCAAAUUAUAAGAUCUGAUAAGACGCAUAAAAGAAUUUGAUCGAGGUCCACCAUUAAAACCUCAUCAGCUCAUCUAUAUCUAUCUAUAUCUAUAUCUAUAUCUAUACCAAUAUAAAAAGACCCGGUGGGGCAGAUCCAACAGAUCUCGGCCAUCCAUUCACAUUCAUCCAACAGUUGAUAUUGUCCUAAUGGUGAGCGACUAAACACGUUUAACGCUAAACAUAACUUUCUCUUUCGUGAUCACCUUCCUUUGGCACAAAAGGAAAGAAACUGCCCCACGUCAAUCAAGAAAGAAAGGAAAGUACUUUCUCUUCCGUUAUCAUCUUCCUUUCGCACGAAAGGAAAGAAACUGCCCACGUCAAUCAAGAAAGAAAGAAGGAAAGUAACUGCUGCAUCAUCGCUCUGCCCCCAAAUCACCUCCAGCCGCCGCACCUUCACGACGCCUCCCCCAUCGCCUCCAGCCGCCGGACCUUCACGACGCCUCCCGCAUCGCCUCGAGCCGUUGCACCUUGAAGGACGCCGCCCCUCCCAUCUCUGUGUUGCCCCAACCCAUCGCCUCGCCUCGCCUCGGCCGUCGGCAGCGCCGCCUCCCUACACCGAUUGGCCGGCCGUCAGGGACGGCGCGCCUCCUCCUACACCACAUGGCUUGGCUGUCGUGGACGGCGCAUCCUCCUACAGCCAGCCGUCUGGAAGCCGCCUCCUACACCACCUAACAGGCCGUCGGGGACGCCUCAUGUUCCUCGGUGUUAUUUGCUGGCCUUCCGGGCGGCUCCGCGGACAACUGCCUCACUAGCUUCGCAUCCUCGACAUCCUCCAACCAGAUCUCCUUGUCGGGGAGAAUGGCGAGCAUCACAGUCAGCGGUGGUCUCCCUGUUCGGCUCUCACUAUAUCUGCCAUGCUUGGUGCCCUUCCGUGGUCGACAUCGAGCAGGUGCCGGCCGACGCUGCCCCCUCGGGUUCUCAUCUUCCACAGGCUGCAUCCACCUGGCCGGAAACCAACCCAGGCUCAAGCGACCACCAUGUCCAUUGGAUCUGUCAUUGCGUUAAGUUUGGUCAGUUACACGCCCUUGCCACGCAACGCCAGGUGUCAUAUUGAUCUGAUGUCUUUUUCUAUUCCAUUGUGUUAUCGGAAUCUGAUCAGACUCGCAUUUUCAACUAAUUAGCAAUUUCAGAUGUGUAGACGUCUACCUAUGCAUUUGUUCUCACCAAGAUGAAGGGAACUGCAUAGUGUUGUCCAUAUGAAAAAACCAAGUCAAUGUGAUUAAUCAAGUACAUUCACAAGCAGUCUGGUAUAAAACCGACCUUCCUGUUAUUAUGUACUCGCUCUGUAAACUAAUAUAAGAGCGUUUAGAUAACUAAAGUAGUGAUUUAAACGCUCUUAUAUUAGUUUACGGAGGGAGUAGAUGCUUAUUGUUUCAUCUUGCCUUACUAUAAAGGUGCAUAUUGAUGAUCUUAUAGAUGUUGUUACUUAUAUGAAAGGGCACAAAAGUAGCAUAGAUAGUAGUACAUCAAAUCUUGGAGUUGCUGCUAUGCUGAAGCUAAUAUUCUGAACCUGAGGUGACAAGAUGUAGGAUCUUUGCUGGUUGCAACAAGCCCCAUUUGAGAGGUCCAUCAUAUUAGUGAAGGAAAAUUGAUAGCUCAUUGCUCAGGUCUUAUCCUUUUUAGAAGAUAGUCAGUGAUGCCAGUACAAUAAAUUCAAAGAUGGCAUUUUAUCGUAUGUAACUUGUGGUAAUCUGAAGAAAAAAAACAUCAUGACAACUAGCCUUUGGUAAGUCUAUGUGCUCUAUUUUUUCCCUUCUACUAGGCAUCAAGGCCAGUAAAAUAUCUUCAUGCUUCUCCAAUCAUACUAGAGUUACUAAAACAUUAAGUCUGACAAUAUUUCUUUCACUUUUGUGUAUAAUCCAUUGUGCACACAAUAGUUGGUCGGAUGAUUGAUUUCACUGGAAUUUGCGCGUACUUAAGUCAUGGCUGGUGCAAAGUUAAUUUAUAGUUUUAUUUUGUUGCUAUUAAAUACUUCAGAAGUCUGCAUUUUGUGUAAUUGAUUGAAUGUGUUUUCUUUUGUGGUCAUAUGAUGAGUUUGUCAAGAUCGGGAUUAAGUAUAUGCAUGUGGUAUUAGGUAUCACCUGCUAUUAAAUAACAUUCAUGGAUCAAAUGUAGUGAUAUUAAUUUAAUAAUUCAUCAAUUUGGCAAAUGUCAGAGAUAAUUGAAGGUGGCACAUAUGUCCGCUAUAUAACCACUACGACACAAAUAUACUAUUAGAGAUGUGUCCUCCCAAGGACAAAGGGCAUCUUGAUGCAAGAUGGGAGGCUUAGAAUUAUUUAUAAGAAGAUUACACGUGCGUUGCACGUGCAAACUUACUAGUUCAUUCAACGGAGCAGGCCAGGGCCGAUGCUUUUUCAGCUUCACAUUACCCUGUUUACAACAAAGAUUAUGAAAUAUGCUUCUCUGAGACAAAGAGCUAAGAUGUGUCGCCCUUUCUUCAAACCAAAUAACAGCACCACAAUAGGAGCAAGUAUAAUCUGGACAGCCAAGGUAAUUCCUCUUCCUAUAAGAGGCUACAACCAAAACACGACGACCAGAAUUGCGGACAAUCAGAUCGAAAUAAACCCGGCAACAAAAGAAGCGACCACAAAGCACGGACACAACAACAAAGAUACCCCUGGCUAACCUUUCAAAUAAGCCACGUACUGUCU
rnacentral:lncRNA from 1 species